rnacentral:lncRNA from 1 species
UGAAAUAAGAGAGUUCAUUAGAAGGAACAUGGAGAUCAAUCAUUAGAUACAUGACUACAAUGUCACUACAAAAAGGAUAAAACAUAAAAUGAAAAUAAAUAAAAGGAUACAGAACUAUAAAAGAACAUGCACGUUCUCCCCGUUAGAAACAUGGAAAAGAAAAUUUAGAUUUCGGAAACGUGGGGAUACAAGGGGUGAGCAGCAUCAUAAAUUAAUCACUGCAAAGCAGUGAGCACUACUGAUUUUAGGCAAAAGCAGGCAUGACUAGUAUAUAAGACAAACCAAACCAUCAAUUCAAGAAUCAAAGCAGAGAAUUGAAUAUUUACUAAAGCUGUCAAUGCAUAACAUGGUAUAAUUCACGCCCUUCAUACUAUGGGAUAAUUGAUUAUUCCAUCCUUUGGUCCUUUUACCCCAACCAAAACUCCAAAAUACCAUUCUCAUUUCAAAGUGAUAGUUCCAAAAUUUGUGCGGCAGCACCAAUGAGCAUUUGGGCUAAGGCAUAGGGUACUUCCAAUCAAGAUAAAGCAUCAGACAUAUUCAGAAGGUUUCCUCUACUGUGUAUCUAAUGUGAUCAUCAACUUAAACAUAGAUUUCAGAUUGUUAGAAGAUGCUCAUUCAUGAUGUCAUGUCAAAGUUAGCGCUAAAAACUUCAUCCAUGCUCAAAGUUGGGAUCAAAAAAUGGAAAAAAGGAAAAAAAUAUUAAGAACCAAAUCAUUUGCAGAACUCUUGCUCUAAAAAUAAAGUACAAUGUUGGGGAUAUUACUUAGCAGAGGAAUUUGCAAAACAAUGGCUACAGGACAAAGGAAAGAACAAAAGAUCGUUUACCAUCCAUCUCAAAUGGAUCUUUCACUGGGUAUCUCAGACACAAGAAACAGAGAAACUCCUACCAAGAAACUCCAAACCAAAAAAAAAAUGAACACAAAAAAUUCUGGUUGAUGUGUUCUUAAAUUCAACAGCUGAAAUAAAACACUGUCAGCAAAAAGUUUCUUGGAACAAAUUACUGCACAAAUUCUGAAAUAAACAAAAUACUGCACAAAUUCUGAAAUAGAGACGAAUUAUAACAAAUAUUGAAAUUAAAUUAAAAUUUUGAAUCUAAGAAUUUUUAUAUUUGGGGGCCCUGAUUCCAAAAGAGGGAGAGAGAGAGUUAAGCUUAAAGGGUUUUGUUUCCUUUUCCUUAGUUUCUUCCAACGGUCCGACCCCAGUCCAGGGUAUAUCCUCCAGCUCACACAGUACAGUUAGAAAAUUAUUCCAAAAAAAAAAAGGGUCAAACAAGAACUCAGAAAAAUCAGAUUCUGAAUUUACUUCUCCUGUCAUUUUCUAAGGCAACAAAUAGUAAAAACAAUCUUUAAAAGAAAAGAUCAGAAAAUAAGAAGGAGAAGAAAACACUUGAUUUACAUUCUUUGUAGCUGAUUGAUUUUUCCCCUUUUCAAAAUUAAAAAAAAAAAAAAAGAAGGUUGCUGAGAAAAUGUUGUAAAAGAAAAUCAAAGUUAAUCUGGAAUCUUCAGAGUUUUUCAACCCAUAUAAAAGAAAAUAAAAAAAAUUAAAAAUAUAUAGCGAGAAAUGAAUGACCAAAUUUCAUUGUUAUCAUUUUUCUUCCUCCAAUUUCUCAGCAAGAAACAGAGAAAAAAGUUUAUGAAAAACAAAAAAAACCAUAAGUGAAUCUGAACAAAAACAAUGUAAAACAAAAGACCCAAAUCCAAUCUUUCCGCUUCCUCCAAUUUCCGGGGAACAAAAUCAGAAACAGAUACGCCGCUUGAUUACCAAGAAAAUGAAAGAAAAAUUAAAAACUUGGUAGCAGUGAACACAAAAAAAUGAAAACCUCCCUUAAAACAACUACUUCACCUAACUGUUUCGAGCAUUUAAUUUUCAAUAACGCCAAAAAAAAUGACGGUUCUGUUCUUUUCCUCCACUUUCUCAUCAACCCAACGGUCAUUUUACCAUUACCUACACUUUCCCAGUAAAAGAACAAAGAAAAGAGAGCAAAGUCCGUACCAAGGAUAAGCAUGGCAUCGGGAAGAGCGCCGAGAAUGGGAAGCAAGAGGCCACCGACCAGGCCAGGACCCAAGAGUUCAAGCAGGAGCUCACUGCCGGAGGAAAGAUAGGUUGCGGCGAGGAACAUGAGGUAACCAUAGACCAGGAUGAGGAAGAGGUUACCCACUGUUGUCGUUGUGCAGGGCAUGAAUCCGUACGUCUGAUCACAUGAAUCCGAGGCUGAAACAGCGGAAAAUGAUCUGAGAAGAAGAUAAGGCGAGCCAUCGCGGUGGUCGUGGACGCCGUCAGAGACUAGGCCGGUGGACGAUGUGCGGUUGCUUAUGACUCUGCCGUCGACGGAAGCGCCGGCGGCGAGGAGCAGAAGGAGGAGGACGGAGCCGGAAGCGGUGGUGGCCAUGGUGGUGGAGGAGAGCGAAGAGUCCUAUGUGGAGUUUAUUUCCAUAUAUAUGGAUUUGGAUGUGGAUGGAUGAACCGCGUGUGAUGCGUGUCUGAACCGGCGAUCGAGUUUUAGUAUUAUUAAAUGUAAGGAGCGCAGCAGGUAAUGAAGGGUUCCUGGUUUUUCCAUUUUAGGUAAAUGGAGGUGUUCAUUUGUAAUUAUAUAAUUUAAAAGGAAUGUUUUCAACUUUUUUUCAAAUGAUUAAAAAUAAUAAUAAAAAAAUAUAUUUUUAGAAAAAAAAUUAAUAAUUAAAAUUAAAAAAAGUCAAAUAAAAGACAAAUGGACUUAUAACUGUUCUCCUCGUUUAAUUUUUUUAAUGAGAUGAGAUAUGAAUUAUUUUGAAUAAAUGAGGUAAGAUUGGGAUAAGGCAACCUGACUCUAAACAUAAUUUUCUCCAAAAACUUUAAAUUAUAUUUUAAAAAUUAUAAUUAACUAAAAGAUUAACUAACUAUUUAUGUAAAUCACUCGUAUUAACCUUAAAUUUGUUUUUAAAAAAUAUUAAAUAAAGAAAAUUGAGAAAAAAAUGGUAGAAUAAAUAAUUUUAGAAAUAUUUUAAUUUUAAGAUAUAUAAGCACUAAACAUGCUAAAUUUGAUUGUCUUUUUUAACUAAAUUAUUCAUGUUUUCCUAAAAAAAUAUUUGUGUUAUUUAUGUUAUUCAAUUUAUAUUUCUGAAAAAAAAAGCUGAGAAUUGAAUGGGCCAAAAUGGGACAAUAAUAGUAAUUAAAGUAAAAAAAAAAAACAAAAUGAAAUGAUUGCAUUUUUUAAUUUAACCGUUGUAUCAUACUCCAUUAUCUACAGUAACUGGUGGCUUUUCAAAAGUUAAAAGAAUAUGAAAAGUUGGAAGAUAUCUUUGUUGUGAAUUAAUAAGAAACAAGAAGAUAAUAAAUCAAAAUUAGCAUCUAAUAUACACAAUAAAAAAGUUAAAAAAAAAUAUGCUUAAUUUUUACAUUAAUUAACCCAAAAAAUAAAUCAAAAUCCAAAAAAAUAUUGCUUUAUAUAAAUUAUUUUUUAAUUUAUGCACAAAGUUAUUACAUAUUUAAAAAAAACUUUUGUUUUCAUAUAAAAUAAUAAUAAUAAUUACUCACGCUCAUGUAUCUGACAGAAUUACGGGAUCAAAUAAACAAACGGGAUCAAAUAAACAAAUAUCUCAUACAACGCAAACAAAUCUCUACACAAAAAUUAGGGAUGAUUUUGAUAUCAUUUGUAACAACUUGCAUUAAAUAAUAUAGAUAUUGUCGUUUAUCGCUUUGAACCUGAAAAGAAUCCUCGUGAAUUUAAAACACGUUUAUAAAAUUAAGAAAAGUUCAUAUUUAUAUAAUUUUAUGAAUUUUUUCUUGUAAUCUAAUGUUAAAUAUGAUAAUAUUAUUAUUAUUAUUAAAAAGCAAUUUUAAUGAUACUAAAUGAGAAAAAUAAUAAAUAGUAGGAACAUGAAGGACCGAGAAUAUACUUUUUAUAGAAAAUAAUCGAGACAUUGAAUAAUAUUUCUCAAAAGUUUCAAAUCUAACUUGAUCUAAUUUUUUAUUUUUUAUUGCAAAUGCAUUGGACCAUAGCUAACAUUUCCAACGGAUCAAUCAAAAUCACGUGCUCUCAUGUUUUUUUAACAUCCCUAUUAACCUGAAUUUGUUAUUUCUUAUGUCCCACCAACUUCACUUUAUUCUUGGCCGUUAAUUUCCUGAUUUGUUCACACACCCAUGUCGGCCCUUUCUGUGACAAAUUAGAUUACGUGCCAUCAACACCAUGUGAUCAUAAUAGAAAAUGAUCGUAUGGUUAAGGUUUGUUGUGUUUCUACUAAUGGUCUUAUAUGAUGUACUUGAAUCGUUAACCGACCAAAUCAGCAUCGAUUGAUGAUUUCAAAUUUCCCCACUUCACAUCAUAUCUAAAAUUUAUUUUUGAAAAGAAAAUAGUUAAACACGUCUUGGUAAAAUAUCUUUAUCUAAAAUAUUUCUAAAAUGUAAAUUUUAUAAGUGUAUUUAAAUCAAAUUAAACGGGGAAAGGUGGGCAUGCUAAUUUUCCAUCCCCUUCAGCUUUUGUUUUGAAAAAAAUUUAAAAAUUUUAAUCACAUUAAAAUAAAUAUAGUUUUAUAAAUAAUUAAAAUAUUAUAAUUAUUAUUAUUAUAUAUUAAAAAUAAGAUAAUUAAAUUAAAUUAUUUUUUAAAAUUAAUUUUAUAUAUAAUUAGAUUGAGAUGAGGCAAAACAAGACAAUUCCUAAACUCGACCCGAACUCAUCCCAAAUUUAUUUAAAUUCUAAACCCAUCCCGUUAUGUGUAAGGCAGAUUUCCCAAAAAGCUUAUCCUCAUUUGUUACAUUUUGUAUUUUUUUAAAUAUAUAUAUAUAUAUAUAUAUAUAUAUAUAUAUAUAUAUAUAUAUAUAUAUAUAUAUAUUUUGCUUAGCUCAUUUUUGAGAAAUUAAAAGUUAUAUUUUAAACCAAAUAUCAACAUUUUCGUAAGAUUUAACUUAUAUUAGAACUUCUGUAAACUUUAAUAAAACUUUUAUAAUAGUUUUUUUUUCAAUGAACUAUUUUGAAUACAAUUCUCGAUCAUUAACUCAUAAACUAAAUAAACACACGAUUUUAUGCUUCUAUGGUACACUUCAUUGUAUAUAUUGACAACUAUGUUUCAAUGAUGUUUUUAUUAAAAUUAAGAAUAAUUUUGAAAAUUUGAAAUUUGCUUAUCCAUUCACAUUUAAAAAGGAUGCAUUUAGGACUUUUUUUUUUAAAAGGGCAAUAAAUCACACUUAAAACAUGGACUCACAAAUGAAAGUUUUAUUUUAAACAUUCUUAAAAUUAGUGAUUAAAGGUCCAAUUUAAUUGGGUUUUGAAGAAAAAAAAAUCAACAUGAUCAGUUUAUAUUUAAAUCAAAUCAAAUCAAACUCUCAAUGAUAGAAAAACUAAACAAAAUCAAACCCAUAUUAUUCAACAUUGGUUUGUUCGAUUUAUAUAAUUGAUUGAAUGCAAGCUAAUUUAUGUCUUAAGUUCAAUUAGUUUUUAAAAUUAUAUUUGACAAAAAAAAUAUGAAAUGUUAAUUAUUCUUAGAUAACUAAUUAAAAUUUAUAUUUUAUAAACUUGGGUUCCUAUUUUGUGAUUUUUUUAUAUGAGUGUAUGGAAUCAUGCUUUUCCCUUAAAAAUAAAAAAUUAUGCAAAAAUAUUAUUGUAAAAAUUGCAUGUAUAAUACUAAUAUUAAAUUAUAAUUAUUUAGUAAAUUUUAUUAGCCCAAGUGAUAUUUAAUAGGAGGGGGGAAGUAUUUGUUGGCUUACUCAAUCUCAUCUCGCGCAAGUGAAAAUUAAGUUUUGUUUGGAUUAUCAUCAUUUUGGAGAAAACAACAAAAGGAUGAAAAUGAUAAAAAUAAAAAUAAAAUCAAAUAAUUUAAAGAACACGAUCUCAUUUGUUGGCUUUAGAUUAUUUGUACUUUAAAAGUAAUUUAAUUUAAAUUAUUAUAUAAAUUAAGUAUGUUUGAUAAAAUAAUUUAAUAUUAUAAUUUAUAGUUAAAAUGAUAUUAAGUAUUAGGUAAAAAUAAUUUAUUUAUUUUUAAUUUUAAAUAUUUUUUGUUUUAUUUUAAGAUUAAUGAAAAUAAAUAUUAAAUAAAAUUAACGAUGAUAAAUAUUAAUUAUAAUUAGUAAGGACAAAUAUGUCAAUUUGAUUAAAUUUUAUCCGACGUCCACUUAAUCUUCUAAUAUUAUAUUUUGUUUUUAUUUGUUUGCAUUUUAUGAUGGGUGCUUUGGAAUUUUCAUGAGUAGUCACACCGGCGCGUCCGUGACUAACGGACACGUACAACUCGACGGACACGGCAGUGGGCCCCACAUUUUAGGUUGGCGAACCGUGCACGUCGGCCGAUAAUACCCAGUUACCCAUUUCCGUAUGGUGACUUUAGACAAAAGUGUGAUGCGCUGUCAUCCAUGUGACGACAAAAAAAAAGAAAAAAAGGGUUGGAUAAUGCUAAUGAACAUCUCUCAUCUCUCCGGUUUUCUACUGGCCAAUCAUAUUUCGGCACGUCAGCAAUGAGAUAAGGUGGAAAUUUUAAUUCUUUUACUUAUAAAUUUAAUGUAAUGAAGCAUUUGUAAAAUUUCUUCCUAUUUAUUAAUAAAAUUUAAAAUUAUUCAGUUUAAGGCCAUAUGUUUGAUUAAAAAAAAUUAAAGAAAAAUAAUUGGGAAAGAAAAUAAAGAGAAAAAAUAAAUAAAAAAUAUAUUUUAAUCUUAUAAAUUAAUUGUUAUAAAUUUAUUUUUAGUAACCAAACAUACUAUAAAUUUAUUAUUAUUUUUUUAUUUUUCUUUUCAUGAUAUUUGAUAUAAAGAUUUUAAAUUAAUUAAACAAUAUAAAAGCCAAUGACAUGAAAAUAAAAGGUAAAAAGGUUUACUUAUCUGGGCCACGUUAUAUAUAUCAUAAAUUAAAAGUCACAAUAAACAUUAAAAAAGUUUUUUUGAAAAAAGAAAAAAAUUAAGAGUAUGCACGACAAUAAAUUUAAGAAAUGUUUUUAACAUUUCUAAUACUUAAAUUUUUUUUUAUUUUUUUAAGAGUUUGUUUGAUAGUGAUUAUAGAAAGUGUUUUUAAUAUUUUUAGUACUUGAAAAUUUUUAUCAUUAAAAUGUUAGAAAUAUUAAAAACGUUUUUUAGAAUUAUUCCAAAACGUAGUCUAAGUAUUAGAAAUAUUAAAAACACUUUUAAAAAAUCAUUCCAGAUAAACUCUAUUCUAAAAAUACUUUCGGAAAAAAUACUAUCAUUAAAAAUACUUUGAGUAUAAUUUUCUAAAAUCAUUAGUAAACAUACCGUUCUUUAAAGUGGGUCUUCCACUGAUUUUGAAAAGUGUUGCUAAUAUUUUUAAUACUUAAAAAAUAAAAAAUUUUAAUUAUUAAAAAUAUUAAAAACACUUUUCAAAUCACUAAAAAACACAUUCUAAUAAAUGAUAUAAAUUAAUUAAUUAAUUAUAUCCUCUAUCCAUUUGUACAUGGCAGAGAAUUUGUGGAUUACCUUAUUUAUUUCCUGUUCACAUUAUUAAAAGUUUUUAUUAUUAUUUUUUGAAAUUAAAUUAAUCAAAGGCAUUCAAUCCUAUACCAAAAAGCACUUUUCCCUUCAAAAAAUAACAAAACAAAAUAAGUGAAAUUUUAAAUUGCUAGAUGAAUUUAAAAUAAUAUACAUGGAAUUGUGUUAAAUAAUAAAUUUUCUUAAAAUUGUAUUCAUGAAAAUAUUUAUAAAAAAAAGUCUUUUUAAGUUUAUUUAUCAUAAAAAAUAAAAAAUAAAAAAUUAAAUUUUAUGUAUUUUUAAAUUAUUUAAAUUUUAUAUAAAAAAUUAAAAUAAAUGAAAUGAAUAUGAAAUAGUAGUUUUGUAACAAGAAUCAAUGUGAUGCUAAGGAACCGUGUGAAUGCAUAUUGUAAGAAUAAUUUUACUUUUUGGAAAUAAAAACUUUGAAAGUGAUAGGUUACCAAAUUUGGAUAUUUUUUCGGGGACGGUGUUGGUAAAUUUAGAAUUUUUUGAACAACCUAAAAGCACUUUUUGAUAAGUCAAAUUUCAAACUGAAUCCAGGCCCUCAAUCAGCAUUAACUGAAUUGUGGAAAAGUCAACAAGUGGUUUGGCAACCAAGAAAAUGGCUAAAAUUAAAUGGCUUUAUCAGUGUAUCACCAAGUGGAUAUUUAUGAUAUUGUCUUGUGUCUAUCCAUGAAAAACUCUUCCUUUAGGCUGGGAAAUAUGAGAAGAAAACAAAAUACAAGAUUGAGUUUAGGAAUCUCUUUGUGAUAUUUUAGAUAGGAGAGUUAAUCACGCUAUGUAAGUAUAAGAUUCUUUUAACUUUAUAGAUAUUUUUUAAAGUCGUGAAAGUUUUUUUGUAUUUAAAAUAAAUAAUAUUUAUACGAUUGGAAUCAUAUAAUUACAAAUGACAUUAUAAUCGAUCUCUAAUUUUGAUGUGAAGGUUUGUUUGAUCUUACAAGCAGUGUUUAUCUGUUUGACCCUAUAAUUUUCUGAAACACAAGGAAUGCACUACAAAGAUAUUGUGUCUGUAAUGUGCACACAUUUAAAAAUGGUGAGACCUUUAAGUUUAGAACAAACAAUAUUUACACCAUUAAAAACGGAUCAUUACAUUAUUUCUCCAUCAUUUUUAAAAUAUAUAAAAUAUUUUAAACCCCAUACCUCUUGUUUUUUGUUUUUUUUUUUGCCUUACAAAAAAAUGAUAAAAAUUAUAUGUAUAUACAAUUUUAUAUAUAUAUAUAUAUAUAACACCAACUAAUGUACUAUAUAUAUGUAGCAAUCAGGUGUCUAAGCUUCAAAUUUAUUAUUAUUAUUUUCUUGUAGUUAGAUGUUGACCACGUCCCUAAUUGGAAAUCUAGAAUACCCAAAGUGGGACCAAAUCUAAAUAAGAAAUUUAUAUUUUUUUUAAACCUCCAUCAAAGAUCAAGAAAUUUGACUAGUUGGGGGUGUCUCUUAUCCCUCCAUAACUAAAGUCCACUUGAGUUCAAUUUUUUGGGGUGGGUCAAAUGGACUAGUGGUUGAAAUUUAUGUUAUACAAAUUGAAUGGAGGGACAAAUUUGGAAAGGUGGAUUUGAUCAUCAACCAUAUAUUUUUUUCAAAAAAAAUGAAAUAAAAAUUAACUUAAUAAAUUUGAGAAUAAAUAAAAUAAAAUAAAAUGGGUUGGUCAUUGGAUGGCCACUUUUUUUUUUAGAACUUUUAUUUUAUUAAAAUAAUUAGAAAAUAAAAAUAAAAUGGGUUGGUCGGUGGAUAUACUUUUUAAAAAAAGAAUUUAACAUUGUUUAUUUUUUAAGAAAUAAUUAAGAAAAAAAAAAAAAACUAAAAUGGGUUGGUCAUUGAUUGACUACAUUUAAAUUUUUUUUUUUUUUAAAUAAUUAGAUUUGUUAAUUUCAGAGAGAGUCAAAGUAGGGUUGCCACCGUCCAUUUUUUUUAGUGUGGGGAGGCUUAGGAAUAAAGAGUCAUACCUUUGGCUUUAAUUGAGGAUCUCAAAAGGUGGGAUAGGUCAAAACCUAGAUGCAGAGUUGCCAUUUGUCAUUUUCAUUUAUUUAUUUUUUCUUUGGUGCUUUCCUCGUUAAGCGGGAAAGUGAAAUUACAAAACAAAAACACAAGGAUUCAUUCCAAACUCCAAAGUAAAGGAAGAUGUGGGGCUGGUUUAUUGCCAUCCCUUUUAGGGUACCUUGAUGUGGAGAGGUCCAUUGUAGUUGCCCUACACAUUUGUGAUUUUAAAUUUUAUUAAUUAUUAUGUUUUAAUUGGUAUUCAAGGGUGACAUUUAAAAUUCAUUUGGUGAUGAUUUUGAAAAACGUUUUUAAUAUUUUUGACACAUAAUUUUAUUUAUUUAUAUUAAAAUAACGAUAUUUAAGUGUUAAAAAUGUUAAAUAUACAUCUAAAAAUGAAUAAAUACCGUUAUAUUAUAAAUAAAAGAAAUCAUGAUAAGAGUCAGAAUUGUGAAUUUUAUUGAAGUGUUUAUAAAAAUAUAUGAGAAUAAAAUUAAUUAUUAUAAAGUCUUUUAUAUAAAUAAAUAACAAAGUUUGAUAUUAGUGUUGGCUAAAUAAAUUAAAAUAUGUAUUAGACCAUCUAUAUUUUUAUUUUUAUUUUUAUUUUUACAAUAAUUGUUAAUUUUUAAAAAUAAUUAGAUUAUUAAAGAGAGAUUCAAAGUAGGGUUCCACCUUCCAUUUGUUUAACAAAGGGUAGAAAUUAGGAAUAAAGAGAUACCUUUGUAAGAGAAUCUCAAAAGCUAUGAGAAGAAGCCAAACCCUAGGUUUAGGCGUGCCUUUACUCUUUGUUUCCUCUCCACCCACAAAAAACGAAAGGAAGAAAAAAGAAAGGGAAUAGAAUAAAGGUGAAUUUAAGGUAUUUUUUUCUUUUUCUAUUCAUUUUAUUAUAUUUAUUUUUAUAUUGACUUUAUCUUUUCAAAAGACGGGUUUAUAUGUAAAUAAAAUAUGAUCGAUUUAAAUUAUUUUUGGGAUAAGUGUAUUUAAAUUUUUUUAAUUAAAUAUAUAUAUUUUUUCAAAGUUGAUUAAACAAGGAUAUAAAUUUUGAUCAAAUUAAAAAAAAAAAAAUUGAAAAUUUGCAGGAUAUCGUGUUGUAACCCACUAAAUAUUGAAAAAAAAAAUCCAUGAAAUAUAAAACAAAAUGAUAAAACCUAGAGUGAUCUGUCUUUUCGUAUUGACACGUAAGCACCAUGCACCCAUUUUCUUCCCCACAAUUUCUGCCUAAACAUGAGGAGGAAGCAUUAUCCACGCACAUACAAAAAGCUCCAUUGAUUUUGCCUUGACCAAAAUAGUGGCAAAUGGAUAUAUCAAUUACCAAGAAAAGAGUAAAAUAAAUAAAAAGGUUCGUCAUUAAUUUCUAAUGUUUUAGUUGGUAUUCAUGCCAUUGAUGAGGCAAGUUGCUCCCCAUCUACCUAUCAAACUUUUGAUAACUUUCAUUGAUUUUAUUUUUUCAACUAUUUUUUUUUUCAAUUUGUUUAAGCUUAAUUAAGAUCCAAGGGUCUCAAAUUUUUUAAUUUUUUAAUACUUAUUGUUUAUAAUUAUUUUACAUAACUUCCAUAAAUAUAGAAUUCAAAAUAAAAUCUAUAAAUCCUCAAGGCUAGGUUUGAAUCAAAGAGAAAAAGAAAAUCAAAUAUAAUAAAAAUUAUUCAAAAAAUAAAUCUUAUUUUGUAUUCUCCUUUAUUUAUUUAUUUUCCUUUUUUUUCUUUAUCUCAAAAUUUUCAAAAGCUUGAGCAACUUAUCAUGCAAAUAAACAUUUUCUUCAUAAUAUCAAAUAUGUAUUAAUAAAAUGAUACCAUACCAUGUUAAAUGUCAAGAAUUAAUAAAAAAAGGGUGACUCUUUGAUAUCCAAAAAUAUUUUUCAAUAUUACAUUAAAUAUUUUUAUCCAAUUUUAUAACGGUGUAAAAUAAGAAUGUGAUAAAGGUACAAAAAGAUCAAAUAAUAUUAGGGGGUACAACUUGGGUAGAUUAGCCCGACCCAACCUGAUGUUUAGAUCGGUUUGAGCAAAUAUUUUUAAUACUUGGGGUUGAGCUUGAAUUAAGUUUUUUGAACUUGAACUUAAUUUUGAUUGGGUUUAAACUAAGAUUUGGACAACCAAACCCUAACCCAAACUCAUUUUUAAUAAACUCUAUUUGAUAUUUUUAUAAUAUUUAUAAUGUUUAUUAUCUUAUAUGAUAAUGUUUAUUUUUUUUAUAUAGAUUUUAAAGAAAAAAAAAUCAAAUUGUAAUUGUAUUACAUAUUUUUUUUUCAUUUUUUAUAAAGAUAAAUAAGUUUAUUUUAUUUUUUAAUUAUUAUCUUAAAGUUUUAUUUUAUUUACUAUUUAAAUUUUGAUAUAAAUAUAUAGAAUUAUAAAAAUCAAAUUUUUUAUAACCAUUAUGGAAUUUGAAUCAUACAGUCAAAUCAACUUGACCAAUUCGAAUCGAACCGAGUCAACUUGAGUUUAAUUUAAUCAACCAAAGUUUAGCUUGACCGAUCCGAGUUUAGAAAAAUGAGAUUGAGUUAAGUUUAGGUUGGAUGCCUCGAGUUAGAAGUUGAGUUGAGUUUAAGUUGAUUGUUUCUUAAUUUGAAUUUGGCUCAAGUUAACCAUUGGCCAACCAUCCCAUUUAAGUUACAAUCUUAAAUACUACUAAAAAAAAGAAGUGUGAGUAAUAUAUAUAUAUAUAUAUAUAGAGUAUAUCUUGAAAAGUGUUGAAAGUUUCAAAUACAAAAUGGUAAGAAUUUAAUUUCCCAUUAAUUGCAAAUUAGAUUUGAUAUUUACUUAGUAAAACCCCUUUAUGAAGUGGGCCUUUGGAAGUCGGCAAACCAAACAACCAAAAGCAAUGAACUAACAAACAGCAACUAACUCGAAAGAGUCGAAGUACUUCUGUAAGAUAUUUGAUGAGACACCAUGGACCCAUUGGCAGUUGCCCACCGUUCUUCCCAUUCAUUUUUGCUGGCAAAUGGUCCUCCCUCCAUCCCCACUGCCCCUUUUCCUACUCAACCUCAUUAUUUGGCUGUCAGACUAUACAGGAGGGAAGGAAAAAGGUUAUGCUUGGGUUUGAGAAAUGUUUGAAAGAAGACGAGAGAUAAAAAGAAAAUAGAAAAAAAUUAUAAAUAUAUUUAAAGUGAAUAAAUAAUCUUUUAUAAUUACUUUAAACUCAUUUAACUUAUUUUAACUUUUCGAUAUAAAAAAAAAUAAUUCAACAAGUAAACAUAAGAAAAAUUUUUCUUAAAUUUUUUUUUUUAGAAACUAAAUAUAACCUAAGAAAAAUAAGCAUCGAUAAGGUAGAGAUCUUUUUGAAGGGGCAUUUACCUAGAUUUUUUAAUGAACUUAUAGCAUUUAAAAAAGAAUUGUAAAAUUAAUAAUUAUAAAAUUAUGAGAUGAAACCAAACCCUAGGUUGAGGCAUGCCUUUACUCUUUGUUUCCUCUCCACCCAAAAAAAACAAAAGGAAGAAAAAAAAGGGAAUAAAACAAAGGUGAAUUUAAGGUUUUUUUUUUUCUCUUUUUCUUUUCAUUUUAUUAUAUUUAUUUUUAUAUUAAUUUUGUCUUUUCAAAAGACGGGUUUAUACAUAUAUAAAAUAUGAUUGAUUUAAAUUAUUUUUGGGAUAAGUGUAUUUAAUUUUUUUAAUUAAAUAUAUAUAUUUUAAAAAUUGAUUAAACAAGGAUAUAAAUUUUGAUCAAAUUAAAAAAAAAAAGUUUUGAAAAAUUGUAGGAUAUCGUGUUGUAACUUGUAACCUACUAAAUAUUGAAUCUCAGCGGUUGAAAAAAAAAUAUAUCCAUGAAAUAUAAAACAAAAUGAUAAAACCUAGGGUGAUCUAUCUUUUCGUGUUGACACGUAAGCACCAUGCACCCAUUUUCUUCCCCACAAUUUCGGCCUAAACAUGAGGAGGAAGCAUUAUCCACGCACAUGCAAAAAGCUCCAUUGAUUUUGCCUUGACCAAAUGGAUAUAUCAAUUACCAAGAAAAUAGUAAAAUAAAUAAAAAGGUUCGUCAUUAAUUUCUAAUGUUUUAGUUGGUAUUCAUGCCAUUGAUGAGGCAAGUUGCUCCCCAUCUACCUAUCAAACUUUUGGAAACUUUCAUUGAUUUUAUUUUUUCAAUUUGUUUAAGCUUAAUUAAGAUCCAAGGGUCUCCAAUUUUUUAAUGUUUUAAUACUUAUUAUUUAUGAUUAUUUUACAUAACUUCCAUAAAUAUAGAAUUCAAAAUAAAAUCUAUAUAAUCCUCAAGGCUAGGUUUGAAUCAAAGAAAAUAUUCGAUAAAGAGAAUCAAAUAUAAUAAAAGUUGUUCAAAAAAUAAAUCUUAUCUUGUAUUCUCCUUUAUUUAUUUAUUUUCCUUUUUAUUUUCUUUAUCUCAAAAUUUUCAAAAGCUUGAGCAACUUAUCAUGCAAAUAAACAUUUUCUUCAUUAUAUCAAAUAUGUAUUAAUAAAAUGACACCGUACCAUGUUAAAUGUCAAGAAUUAAUAAAAAAGGGUGACUCUUUGAUAUCCAAAAAUAUUUUUCAAUAUUACGUUAAAUAUUUUUAUCCAAUUCUAUAACCAUGUAAAAUAAGAAUGUGAUAAAGGUAAAAAAGAUCAAAUGAUAUUAGGGAGUGAAACUUGGGUAGGUUAGCCCAACCCAACUUGAUGUUUAGACGGGUUUGAGCAAAUAUUUCCAAUACUUGGGGUUGAAUUUGAAUUAAGUUUUCUCGACUUGAAUUUUAUUUGAUUGGGUUUAGACUAAAAUUUGGACAAUCAAACCCUAACCCAAACUCAUUUCUAAUAAACUUAAUUUGAUAUUUUUAUAAUAUUUAUAAUGUUUAUUAUCCUAUAUGAUAAUGUUUAUUUUUUUUAUAUAUAUUUUAAAGAAAAAAAAUCAAAUUGUAAUUGUAUUAUAUAUUUUUUCAUUUUUUAUAAAGAUAAAUAAGUUUAUUUUAUUUUUUAAUUAUUAUCUUAAAGUUUUAUUUUAUUUACUAUUUAAAUUUUGGUAUAAAUAUAUAGAAUUAUAAAAAUUAAAUUUUUUAUAACCAGUAUGAAUUUUGAAUCAUACAAUUAAAUCAACUUGACCACUUCGAAUCUAACCGAGUCAACUUAAGUUUAAUUUAACCAACCAAAGUUUAACUUGACCAAUCCAAGUUUAGAAAAAUGAGAUUGAGUUAAGUUUAGAUUGGAUGCCUCGAGUUAAAAAUUGAGUUGAGUUUAGGUUGAUUAUUUCUUAAUUUGAAUUUGACUCAAGUUAACCAUCGGCCAACCAACCUAUUUAAGUUACAAUCUUAAAUACUACUAAAAAAAAUGAAGUGUGAGUAAAUCAUAUAUAUAUAUAUAUAUAUAUAUAUAUAUCUUGAAAAGUGUAGAAAGUUUCAAAUACAAAAUGGUAAGAAUUUAAUUUCCCAUUAAUUGCAAAUUAGAUUUGAUAUUUACUUAGUAAAGCCCCUUCAUGAAGUGGGGCCUUUGGAAGUCGGCAAACCAAACAACCAGAAGCAAUGAACUAACAAACAGCAACUAACUCGAAAGAGUCGAAAUACUUUUGUAAGAUAUUUGAUGAGACACCAUGGACCCAUUGAUAAUUGAUUUUCAUAUUUAUUGGCAGUUGCCCACCAUUCUUCCCAUUCAUUUUUGCUGGCACAUGGUCCUCCAUCCCCAUUCCCCACUGCCCCUUUUCCUACUGACAAUUGUGUUUUGGAUCUAGUUGGGUCCAAAAAUUAAGAUUUGAUCCAUGAAAAUUGUAUAAUUGAUGGGAAGGAUAUAAAAUUUAAAGAGACCAAUAUAUCCUUCAAAACUAUUUUGAAUAUUUUCUACUAUAGUGUUUGACAAACUUUUUUAUUUUAAUUUUUUUAAUAAUUAUUAUGAAAAUUUAUUAUUUUUAGAAAAUAAUUUUAAAAUAUAUAUUCUAAAAAUAUAUCAUUUAAAAAAAAAUAAUUUUGACAUAUUUUUUGUUAAUUUUUACAUACAUAAUUUUAAAUAUAUAUAUUUUCCAAGAUGUUUGAUUUUUAAAUAAUAAUAAUAAUAAUAAUUUAUUUUUAUUUUUUUUGGAAAAUGGUGUAUUUUUUCCAAAUCACUAAAUUAAAUUAAAUUAAAAUUUAUUGAGGUUUACAAAAGGAAUAAAAUUUAAAUUAAUGUUUUUCCAUUUUUUUUUUCAUAAUAAAUAAAGGUCAUUUUUGGAAAGAUAAAAAAUUCAUAUCCUUCUUCUCAAUUUCCACACUUUCUCUAGGUCUUGGGUUGAAAUAGUGAACUUAUAUGGAUCAAAACUUAAUUUUUAGGUCCAACUAGGUUCAAAACAUAAUUGUCCCACCUCAUUAUUUGGCUGUCAGACGAUCAUUCAUCCCUUUAACAAGAAAAUCCAGGAGGGAAAGAAAAAAGGUUAUGCUUGGGUUUGAGAAAUGUUUGAAAGACGACGAGAGAUAAAAAGAAAAUAGAAAAAAAUUAUAAAUAUAUUUAAAGUGAAUAAAUAAUUUUUUAUAACUACUUUAAACUUAUUUUUUUUUUAAUAGCUUCCUACAACCAAAUAUAACAUAAAAAAACUAAAUUAAAACAAUAGAUUAAAAAUUAAUAAAUUUCUUUCAACUCAUUUUACUUGUUUUUUUUCUCAUUUACAUAAAGAUGAAAUAAUUUGAAUAUUUUUUUAACUAAUCAAGGUAUUGAAAAAAUUUAUUAUCUCAAAUUUUAAUUGUGAUGUUUUACAUCGAAUAUGAGAAAAAGUUCAUGAUACUAUAUUAAUAUGAUUUUUUUUUUUAAUCUUGUAGACGUGAUUCAAAGCUGUAAGGACCAUUUUUGGGUUUAAAACGAAUAAUAUUUACGGAUGGUUGGGUGUGGAUUGAUCAUUGACUUUGGUGUGCGAGAGUUUGUUUGAUCUUGUAGAGAGUGCUUAUUUGUUUGACCUUACAAUCCCAUGUGUUUGCAUAAAAGGAUGUUUAUAACUUCACAUAUUGAAUAAAUAUGUGAUAAAGUUUUUGUGUUGUAUCAGUAUGAGCUUUUCUUAACCUUGUAAGCAUGUUUUAAAGCCGUAAUGACUUAUUUUAGGUUUAAAAAGCAUAAUAUAUAUACAGUUAAGUGUGAGUCAUUACAUUAAUAUUUUUAAAAGUGAUUUUCAAAGGUAUAAGAUAAAUUUAAACUUUUUGUACAAGAUGCUCUACUUUAAGAUAAAAGUUUAUGAUUUCAAACAUAAGAGAUAGGAAGUGUAUCCAAAUGGAUGCUUAACAUAUUAUUAUUUAUUUUAUUUUUACAUUGAUCCAAUCAUAAAUCAGAAAUGAUAAAUAGGGUUUCGUAAUCUUUAAUUUUUUUGACUAGCUUACCAUUAUAAAAAUACUAAUGUUAUAUCAUAUUUUCACAAUUAUAAUGGGAUGUUAGGGUUUCUUAGUCUUAAUCGAUUUGAUAUUGACUAUCAAUCCAUAUUAUUCAAUAAUUCUUUUAAGCUUUUGGGAUUUUGAUAACAUGCACCCACAUUUUUUUUUUGUAAUAUUUUGUGAUGGGUUUUGAUUUUUUUUUAAGGGUCAAGAUAUGAUGAUUCAAGAAAAAGACAAGUAUUAAGAAUGAUUCUUCAUUGACAAGGAACCAAAUUGAAAGUUGGAUCAUGGUGAUAGGCAAUUGACAUAGAAAAUUUGAUUUGCCAACUCAUGACAUGAAAGCCCAAACUUGAACUUGAAGUUAGGAAACUAUAUACAAUUCCACUUUAUCAAAGUUGAAAUGAUCUUCAACCUCAAUGCUAGAUCUAGAUUCUUUCCUUAGUGGAAAAGCUUUGAACACUAUUCCUUUAAACUUAUCUCUUUACUUAUGGUUAUAACCAUUUUUCUUUCCUAUUCCAACCUUGAAUGGGGUUCACAUCAAUCCUUUGAUUUUUUUUUUGUUGGGUCAACCCCUUUGAUAGAUUUGAGCGCACAACUAAAAAGAAAUUGGGUCAUGAUGUGGGCUAGGGUCCAAAGCCUAGACAUGGUCCAAUUCCAAUUUAAGGGGUCCAUGGGAGGAAUUCUAAGCCCAUAAGCAUAGCAAAUGAAUGAUUUUUACAAUGAAGAACUUUAAGCUAUUAUUAGUUGUUGGAAAAUUUGGGGGAAAAUAUAAAGGGAAGAAAAAAUGAAGAAAAAAAAAUAAAAAUAUGAAGUUAAAAAUUCUUUUUAUAUGCUACUCAAACUCAUUUAACUUAUUUUAACUCUUCGAUAUAAAAAUUAAAUAAUUUUAAAAUGUAAAACUUUUAAUUAUAUAUAUAUAUAUUAUAUUUUCUACAAGACAAGUAAACAUAAGAAAAAUUUUCCUUAACUUUUUUCUUUUUGAAAACCAAAUAUAACCUAAGAAAAAUAAGUAUUGAGAAGGUAGGGAUCUUUUUGAAGGGGCAAUUACCUAGAUUUUUGAUGAACUUAUAGCAUUUAAAAAAGAAUUGUAAAAUUAAUAAUAUAAUGAAAAAAAUAUAGUGGAUCGAUUUAGCUCCAUAGAUGGUAGGUUGGUGUAAUAUAAAAUCGUCUCUUGAAAAGAUAAUUUUUUAUUUUUUAUUUUUGAUGUUUUCCUUCUAUAGAGGGAGAGGUGUGGCAUUUAGAGGGAUGUCGUCUCUUCUCACGUCAGUAUAUCGAGAUCAUCUUUUUAAGAGGCAAGUUUAUUUUUCUCAUCUUCAUAAAAAUAAUGAUAGAAUUAAAAUUGCUUUCGAAAUUGUCAUUUUCUAUAUUUUUUUAUUCAGUUGUAAUUAGGAAAAAAGGAAGAAAAAACCCUACUUACCCUCUUUCAUAACUUCAUCCGUAGUCCAACUACUAGAAUCAGAGAUCACCCUAAUCUUGGAUCACAUGCUAAAAGAAUUCUUUUGUCUAAUGAAGCACCGGUUUUUUUGUCUAAAUUUUCAGAGUAGAAUGCUGAAAUGCUCAUGGCACAUUUCACAAAAUUCAGAAUAAAACAAUUAAAGAGCAACCAAAAUAAUAAACAAAAAACUAAAUUAUAUGUCAAACAAUUAAUCAAUCAUAUUCUUCAUGCAACAAGGCCUCAAUCCAAUGAACUAACCAAAAAGCAAAAAAAGAAAAAGAAAAAAAAGAAUGAACACCAAAACUUCCAAAAAUUCUCUCAUUUUCUACCUUCAAUGGUUCUACUUUUAGAACCAUUUGGCAAAACCAUCAAGAGCAUAAACCAAAAGCAAAGACAAUGGAUACAGUAAGUAUGCAACGAUCGAUGUCCAGACUGGGAAGGUGGAGCGCAAGCUUGCAAACAUGCCCAUCACCACGCAUACGAUCAUAACAACGAGUACUUCAGCCGAGAAAUCCCAUGUCAAUUCGCGUACGUAAAUUAUGGACAAUAGUACUGAAAUCCCUAGGACAUUGUUCAUGAAGACUCCUCCAUAGAUCUGCAUAUCAUCACAUCACUAAGUAUUAAUCCUCCAAAGAUUAUAAAGCACUUAUACAGAUGCUAUCAGCCACAUUUCAUUAUCACAUGGACUAUAUAUACUUUUUUCUUUUUGUGCAUGUAAAUAUUAGCAUAUACUAGAUUGAUGAAAUGGAUCGGAAUAGUAAUUAUGGGGGGCAGACCUCAGAAAAUGUCAAGGAAGUAGUUCUUUCUUUUCUUCUACUCGCGGCGGAGAUCGCUGAAGUUGCAGCCCUAGCGUUGGUAGCUAACGGGACGAGGAUGAAUGCGAUGAAAAACGACGAUAUAUUAGCAGCUGUUGAGAAGGAUUGUACACUAUGUAUGAGGGGUUCUGCUAGAACAGAUAGAAUAAGAAUUCCAGCCAACAAAAGCAUUAUGGCCUUGAACCAUGCCCAAGGAGAUUUAUCAACUGGCCCUGCACUGGUCUGUUCUACCAACUCGUCUGUCUCUUUCCAAGCUUUCUGCAUCAUCAUGAAGUGUAUAAAUACUUUUAAUAUUGUUUCAAGGAGUCAAGGUAUUGUUUUUGGUGAAUACCUAACCCAAACCUAACCCGAACCUAACCCAAUAUAUAGAUGAGUUUUAACGAUCAUUUUCAAUUUUCGGCCCAAGCCUUGGACAACUCAAGUUUGACCCAAACUUCAUUUAAUAUUUUUAUAAUAUUUAUAAUGUAAAAUUUUUAAGAAAAAAAUAUUAAAUUAUAUUUUAUCAUAUAUUUUUAUAUUUUUAAAUAGAUAUAUAAAUUUAUUUAUUUAUUUAUUUUGCUAUCCUAAAAUUUUGUCUCAUUUGGGGUUUACAUUUUCAUAUAAAUAUAUAGAAAAAAUUUCUUAAAACACAUUAUAGAUGAAUUUUGAAUUUUACAACUUGAUCAACCCGGGUCUAAACUCACCAACCUAAACUUAAAAAAAUGGGAUUAAGUUGUGUCUCUUCCUUUAAAGGUAAAAUUGGGUUAAAUUUGGAUUUAUUUGUUUAUUUUUUAAUUUGAAUUUGACUUAAAUUGAUCAUCAACAUGAUCAAUCCGUCAAAGUUACAUUCACUUACAAGGAAUAUUUCGUCGUUCGGUUUGGGCGACUGCAGGGCCUGAUGGCUGGAAAUGUUAACCCAUUUGGCAAGGCCUUGGAUGAACUCCUCCUCAUCGAUUAAUCGGUCUCCAUUGACGUCAAGUUUUUCCAUUAUUCUUGCGACCGCUUCGUCUACGUCUAGCGGCAUGUCUCCAAACUUGAUGCUCAUAAUGAGUUCUUUUAGUUCAGCUUGUGAUAUGCAAUUGUCUCCAUCAAGAUCAAUUCUCUCAAAGAGGCUGUAAAUCGAAUUAGCGCAAGAGCCUUAGAACUAUUAUAUGGGUUCCAAGAAAUAAUAAGGAUAUGAAAAAAAAAUAGUAAGAAAAAUAAUUUUUUAUAUUUAAUUUUAAUAUAGGAAACAUAAAAAAAUUAAAUAUAAUUAAAAUUAAUUAGUUAAAAAUUUAUAUAAUUUUAAAUUAUUUAAUUUUUAUAUAAAAAACAUAAAAAUAAGUGAAAUAAAUUUAAAAUAAUAUAUAAAACUUGACAUUUUUUCCUUCAUAUUUUCUCUUAAGGUUUUCAUGAAUAAAAUAUGAUCUUAUAAAAAUUAAUAAUUCAAAAGAAUAUUCAACAUUUGAUUAAUCAAACAUCCUGAAUUCAAAUUUAUAAUUUAUUUGUUAUUACUUCCUAUCUAUUGAGCAUGCAUGAUAUAUAUUAUGACCCCAAAUCCGAACAACUUAAGAAAGUCCGUAACGCAACAUCCUUAAAAAAACCUUGUAACACGCAAGAACAGUCUAAUUAAAAGAAUUGUAAUAUGCUAUCUUACCUUUUUAUAUUUGCUAUAUCCGGCGUGUUAUCCUCUUUAAGCAGGCUUCCUAGGCCACUGUUUUGAACAUGUCUUAAAAUCCCAGACAUCAAUUUUUCCUUCAUUUCUUUUUCGUUCCUUCUCUUUAGAAUCCAAGGCCGAAGAACCUAAACAACAACUCGACCAAAUCAAAAACCAAAUAUUUGUUUGCUCAUUUGAAAAUGUUUUUAAAAACACUUUCAGUCUAAAUUUAAAGAAAAAAAAAAAAAGCUUCAACAAAAUUUGCAAAACACUUUUUAAAUAUUGAAAAAUAACUUUUAAUGUUUUGUCCGGAAAUAUUUGAUAAAUGAUUAUUCCAAAAACACUUUUAAGGAAAAUAUUUUCACUAAAUACUUAGAAUAGAAACACGGUUAAUAAACAUGCGUUUUAUAAUAAUUCUAGAAAGUGUUUUUAACUUCUUUUUUUUAAAUAUUUCAAGUAAUAGAAAGACUAGAACAACUUUUUAAAAUUGUUAUAGAUAGUCUUAACCCAUUUAAUAGUAAUUUUAUGAAAUGUUUUUAAUAUUUUUAAAACUUAAAUUUUUUUAUUAUUUAAGUAUUAAAAAUGUUAGAAAUAUUUUUUAAAAUCACUACUAAAUACAAGUGUAUGUUUGGUAGUGAUUAUUGGAAGUAUUUCUAAUAUUUUUAUUACUUGAAAUAUUAAAAAUAUUAAAAACGCUUCUUAUAAUCACUAUCAAAUAGAAUUUUAAUGUAAUUUAAUUUCACUAAAAAUACUUUGAAUACAAAUACUAUAAUUCGUUAGACAAUGAUUUAAAAAAACACUUUUAACAUAAUUAAAAGAGUUCUUGAACAAAACAAAAAGAAGGUAUUUAACAAAAUUUAAAAAACACUUUAAAAAAUCUAAAAUUAAAGAAUUAUAGCGUUUUCAAGGUAAACACUUGAUGAGCCAUUCUUUUCAAAACACUUAACAGAGAAAACCUUAUCAUUAAAAAUAUUCCGAAUAGAAACACUGUCAAGUGUACCAGCACUUCAAAAUCAACAUUAAUGUUGCAGACUUGCAGGCAUACCUGUUGUAGAUCUUUCAAUGAAUUAUUGGAGUAACUUCUGUCAUGCAAUCCUUUCUUUGUCUCAUCAAGCCAUUUUGAGAUCCCAGCUAUGAACUCAUCCUUUGUUAUUGUUCCGUCACCAUCAAUAUCAAACUGUCCUAGAACAUCUAGCACUGCAUCUUCCUUAUUGAUCAAGUGUGGUUUUCGAAACCUGAUCCCAAGAAGAAGCUCCUUGAUUUCAGCAGGCGAUAUAUAGUCAUCACCAUCAAGGUCUGUUUCCUCAAACAGCCUGCGAUUAGAUACAAGUAUAUGCUGUCAAACAUUUAAGUACAUAGAAAUACCGAAAAAUCAAGAUCAAAACAGUAUGGUAUACUUAAGGAAAGAUGAUCGCACCCUCUUAUAACACUUAUGUUCGGAGCUCCUUCGUCUGUGAGGAGUUUUCCUACAGCAUGUUCUUGGAAGUAUCGUAAAAUUCUUAUCACUAAAUGAUCAUGUUUUACGUACUCUAAUCUUCUUUGCUGAAUCCAAGGCUGAAAUAUCUGCAUAUUUUUCAAGUAAAAGUUUGAGGUAUAUUACAAAAAGUAAUGCAUCAAAAUGCAUAAUCCUAAUUCUUAAGUAAAAUUUUAAGGCACCGAAUCGAUUUCAUAAACUCCCGAUCCAAACGUAAGUAUAGAAAAUUUGUGUAGGUUAAUAAAGGUACAAAGAAAUGAGACAUAUAAUUAGAUAUACAAAAAAUAAAAUUAAAAUAUAAAUCAAUUUUGACCUAAUCAUGCUAAGGUACAAAUGAAUGACCAUUUUUACAAACUAUUUUCUUAUGACACUAAAAAAUAAUUUUAUAGUACUAAAAAUAACCUUAAAUAUGAUAUUGUAUAUAAGAUAGAGAAAAAAGUUUCUAAUACUAUAUAUGUAUGAGUUUCUUUUAACUUUAUAAACGUGUUUUAGAAUUGUGAAGACUUUUUGAGCUUAUAGUGAAUAAUAUUUAUAUAGUUAAGAACGAGUUGUUAUAGAAUAGUAUCAGAGUCAAUUCCUUACUUUGGUGUUGGAGUUUGUUUGACCCUGUUCUGGGUGUUUAUCUGUAUGAACUUGUAAUAUCAUGGAACACAAUGAAAACGUUAUAUUUAUAUGAGAGGAUCGUUGUAAUAUAUCACAUUUGAGAAGAAAAACAGUUAUUAAAUAUAUAUAUAUAUGAAUUCUUUUUAACUUUCUAAAUAUGUUUUAAAGUUGUAAGAAUUCAUUUAAACUGAUAAUAGACAAUAUUUAUAUAAUUGGAAGUGAGGUUUUAUACUAAACCUAAAUGCUAUUAUUAACCAUACAAAACCAAUCCUAGAAAAAUUGUUACUACUUUGUACCAAGAAGAUCGAAUGAAUGUUAUACUGAGAAUUCAAAUGGAUGUUAUAUGCUUCUACUGAAUUCUCAAUUUGAGUUCAUGUAUAUCGGACCAUUGAAUAAAAAUAUAAAGAAAUAGUAUUAAAGGUUUUUUUAAAAACUCUGAAAUACAAAUAAAUAAAAACUUUUUUGUCAUGAAAUUGUUUCUAAUGGCUAUCAUAUGCAUAUUGUGUUUAAGCUCUACUGAGAAUUAAUCCAAAAAGUUUGGAGAGUAUUAAUACCUGAUAGAUGAAGUAGAGGAGAAGAAAAAUAAGAGAAACAAUAAGAGUGAUCAAGAUCACAACGCGUUCCCCAUAAGACAAUUGGAAUAAUAUUGUGAUUUGGAUGAUGAUGAAUGGUAUUAUUGAUAGACCCAUGAUCCUUGCCAUGUACCCAGUUUCUUCAUCUGUUGCAAUCCCACUACCUUCAUACAUUUCACACAAUAUAAGGUUUUAUUUGAUACAUAUUUUUCUAAAACACUUUUCUAUUUUCUAAAAAAUAUAUUUGAUAAUUAAAAAAUAAAAAAUAAAAAAUAGAAAACAGUCUUAUAUUCUUAAAAUAAAAAAUAUGAUAUUUUUAAAGUUAUUUUCAUAAAUAUAGAGAAUGAUAUAUAAAAGUUAUUUAAAUUUAUUUAAAAACAUAGAAAAUAAAUUUAAAAUAUUCUCAACUUUUGUUUUAUAAAACUGUUUUAAAAAAUUGUCUUCAAAACCUGUUUUAAAAAAUGAUUAUCAAAUAAGGAGAGAAGAAACAUGUACCCGUUAACAUCAAUAAUAUUUUCCGAUAUGGUUUUUGUAAUAAAUUUGCAUCAACCGUAGCGCCCGAACCAGCGCCGGGAAACUCACAACUCCCAACAAUGACACAAGUGCCCCAAAGUACAGUGAGGAGCAAGAUCGUCGAUCCGGCCAACAAGCCGACGGCGGUGAGCACAUACUCUUGAGCAGUGUCUUUGCUGUUCAGAAGUCCAGACGCUGAAAUGGUUCAGAGAAAAACAUUGUUACAGCUAAUUAAUUUUCAUUGCACCAACCCAACCCCCUCCCCCCUUUUUUCUGAGGUAUAUAAAUUUUAAUUAAUUGAAAUCAAACUAUAUUCAAUGGAUGAUUCAUGAUUGUGGCAUCCACGAUUCAAAUAAUCAAAUAUGAGAAAUCUUUUGCGUGUUACCACAUACUUUUGACUACUUCAAAUCGUACAAAAUUUGACUAAAAAUCAUAUUAUUUUUCUUCAUUGUCUUUGAAGUUUAGGAAUUAGAUUAUUACACGACUAAUGCUGUUCAACAAUCGAUAUUAAUGAAGAUGAUGAUAAUGUGUACGAAUUUUUUUAAAAAAAAUAUUUUCUUAUUUUUUAUUUUAUUAUAAACAAUAUAAAAAAUAAAAUAUAAUUAAAAUUGUUAAAUUUUUUUUAUAUAAUUUAAAAUUAUUUAAUCUCUAUAUAAAAAAUUAAAAUAUUAUAUAAAAAUAAUUUAUUAAUUUUAUUUUAUUUUUUGUAUGUAUAUUUUAAUUUUAAAGUGUCAAACGGGGGUAGAUAUAUUAAAUGGAAGUGGUCUUCAGUCUCCACAUGACAUAUAGGAAGAAGAAGUUAGGGAUAAAAAACAAAAAUAUUAAAAUUUUAUAAUAAUUGAAAAUGUAAUUUUUGAAAAAUGAUAAGUUUAUUAAAACAAAUUUUUCAAAACUAUAAUUUUUUUUAAUCAUGUUUAAAGAAUUAGUUUAAUGAAAUACAUAUAAAGAAAGUUUGAAUAAAACCCUUAAAAUUUUAUCAUAUAUUUUCCUUGGUUUUUAUAAUAUAAAGAAAAAAAAGGGUUUCUAUUCAAUUAAAAUAGGAAAACAUAUUUAACAAUUGGAAAACAAAAAACAAUUUUGAAGUUAUUUCAAGCAUUCUUACAAUUUAAUUUUAGGAAAACACUUCCUAAACAAAGCCGUAAAUUUUAAUUCAAAAAUUAAAAAAAAAAAAAAAAAAAAAGGAAGAGGAAGAAGAAGACAUGGCAAAGAGUUGAGAAAACUUACCAAGAAGAAUCAAGGACUCAGGGAGAGCACCAAGGACCUGAAACACACUGGCACCAAACACCCCAGGCCCCAAAAUCUUGAAAAUCUGCUCACCCCCAGAUGCCACAUAUGACUCUCCAUGAAACAUCAAGUAUUCAUACACAACAAUUAGGAACAGAUGCCCAAAAAUAUUGUUGCUGCAUGGCAAAAACCCAUACAAUUGCUCACAUUCCUCUGAAGAAUACUCCAUUCCUCUCAACACCAAAACUGAAGACUUCUGCCCUUCACCCUCAUCAACCCCAUCUGAUACCAACUCAUGAGGAUACCCAUUGAGCCCUAGAGGGCGCCCUCUUACAUCAACAAUAAUGAAAAGGUAAAUAAGAAAAAUAGAGAAUGUUCUAUUUUUUGGAAUUUUCCACAUCUUGCAGAGAUGAACAAGUUGGAUGAGGAAGAAGAAAAUGGAGGAUGGGAUAUUUUAUGGAUAACAUAUAUGGGGUUUAUAUAUAUAUAUAAAUGUAUAAGUAUGAGUUAAUAUGUAUCCAUGAAUUCUUUGUAAUUACGUGAAUAUAUAACUUGUCAACAAGUUUAUGUUCAUAAAGUCAAGGACUUGUUCAUUAGUUUGAAUAUAUUGAUUUGAUAUUGGAGAAAAAGAAAAAAGGGAAAACCCCCAAAAACCCAUAUCCCCAUUUUCUUCUUUGAUGCAUGGCAGCCCUGCUAGGGUUUUGCACAUACAAAAGGAAAAUGAAAACCUUUGCAGACAAAAUUGAAAUAGAACCAUUUAUUGAUAAGAAGAAGAAGAAGAAGAAGAAGAAGAAGAAGAAGAAGAAGAAGAAGAAGAAGAAGAAGAAGAAAAUGUAUUUCAUUAAAAUAUACAUAGACCAAGUCCCAAGUUUUCUUUUGACAUAAGUUUUAUACAUGUAUAUGAUUAAACACGAGGUUGCUUGUAAGUUUAAUAGAAUUUACUAUGCUUAGACCGUUCAUGCCAUUGACCUAGCUGUCAAAGUCUGCUAAUUAGUGCUUCCACGUAUUAUUAUUGAUGAGGUGGUGGAUGGCAGCCAUCGAUCUUUGAGGUUGGUUGGUUUGAUGAGAUUAGGUUGCCUUGAUUUUGGGUUGGCUUGCGUGGAGUCUUGUUGGGGCGGCUCAUUGUCAUAUCAAAAGCUUGUGAAAUAGGAAACUCAAGAAAUUUCAAAGUUCUACAGUUUCUGAUAAAGCUUCAAAGAGGCAGCAUAAUGGUUUUUAUUUGAAACCUAAAAUCCAAAUAAUAUUUUUUUGUCGGAUUUUAUUUAGACUUAUUCAUAGUUCAAGUAAAAGAACAAAUAUGAUCUUAGUUCGUGAUACAAUAUCAAAUUCAUCUUUCAUCCUUUAAAAAGCUAAGAAUAGUCUUCGUGUUUGUUUUAUUUAUUUAUUUAAAUAUAAAUAUACAUAUAAAUUAAUUUAAUUUAACUAUAAAUACAACUUAAUAGUAUGUUUGUUUUUUCACAAUGAAAGUUGAGUGUGAGGGUUGAGAAUCAUAAGUAUGAUUAAUUAACAUUUUAGAUUAAAUAAAAAAUUACAUAUUUUAGAUUUUUAUAUUAAGAUAAAAAUAUUGAUAAACAAGUUAAAAUUUAAAAACAAACAACUGAAAACUGAAAGUAAAUUGCAUUUAACAUUAAGUUAAGAAACAAACACCACCUUAAUUGGAUAAUUAGAUAAAAUUUAUACUGUAAAUACAAUCCUUAGUAUCACAAUAUAAAAUAUUAAAUAACAUAAUAUUAUUUAGUUAUUUUUUGAAUAAUUUUAUUUGAAAUUUUAGGCUUAAUUUGAAGGGCCUAGUAAAGCUGGGCCCACUCAACCCAUUCCUGGCCCAUUAUCAGGGUAGGGCAUGGCCCAAGAGAUUACUACCCCCACUUUUGAAUUCAAGCUCUUUGAUUGUUUGAUCAACAUUCAACAUUCAACAUUUUUAUACUACUACUAUAUGAGGAAAGUUAUUAUUCCCAUUUUUUAUUGUUAAUAUUCACAUAAAAUUUUUCUUUAUUCUAUUAGGAAUAUUUUCCAUGAAUUUAGUAAGAAUAUAUAUAUAUAUUUUUUAUAUUUGAUUUUAUUAUGAAAAAUAUGAAAAAAUAAAUAUAAUUAAAAUUAAUUAAAUUUUUAUAUAUUUUCAAAUGAUGUAAUAUAUAAAAAAAUUUAAAUGAGAUAAAUAAAUUUAAAACGAUAAAUAAAAAUAUUUUAUUAACUUUAAAUUUAUUUUUAUUUUCUUUCCUUCUAUUUUCUUUUUCUUACAUUUCCCCUUAAUUUUUUUGAGUAACCAAACAUAACAUAAAUAAUUUUUAUUCUUCCUUUAUAUUUCAUACUACUAUAUACAAAUUAAACAAAGCAAUUCAUAUUUAUUUCUAUUUAAUUAUGAUUUUUUUUGAGAUUUUCCUUAUUCCAAAGAUAGUACAAAAUUUUACUUAUGUCUAGGCUUAACCUAAUCCAUUCAAAUUAAUUUCAUGAUCUCGAAGUUGUCUAACUAAACCUAUGUUCACUUGCUUAAGUUUUAACUUAAUUUUAAUUAGAGUAAGUCACGUUUAAGAUCUUACUUUAAUAAAUGGUUUUCAAGUUUGGGUUGAGCUCCAUAAAUAUCAACUAUUCUUCCCUUAAUUAUUAGAUGAUCAAGAGAAAACUGAAAAUUUCAAGAUCAACCAAGCCUAGCUUGUUGCCAAUAACCUAAAACCUCAUUUGGGCCAUGAGGGUUCUAACUUUGGAUAGGGUGUGUUGAGGCCCACCCAAUCCAUGUUUAGUGAAGGUUGGGAUUUUUUAAAAUUAUGAAUUUUUAAAAUAAAAUUAAUGACAGUGUAUUUUGAAAGGUGACAGUGUCAAAACUAUUUUUAAAAUUACAAUACUUUUUAAAACAUCAAUCUUUUGAAGAGAUAAUUUCAAUUCAAAUAUUAAAAUUAUUUUUUCAAAUAACAACUCCAAUAUUCAAUUAAAAUUAUAUUUUGAAAAGAAAUUUUUUGAAAAUGUUAUUUGAAUUAUUAUAUUUAAAAAAAUAUUUUUAAAUUUGUUGUUUUUUCCCCUCAAAAUCCCUGAGAGGUACAUCUCGUUACCUUCUCAAUGGCUUUCUUCUAUUUUUGAACCUUCUCUCCUGUCCUUUAGUAAGAGCAAGUUGGAAUAUGACAAUUCCAUACUUAUUCUACUGUCCAAAGUUUGUGGGCCCAAAAAAUACCCCCAAUGAAGAAUAAGAGCCAUAAGAAUAUAAAUAUUAAAAAAAGUAACCAUCCUUAUCCACCUUAUAAAAAUAUAAUUUUUUUUUAUAAUAAUUUCUAUAUUUAUUAUUUAUCAUGAAAAAUGCUUAAUUCGCAUGAAAAAUGCUGUGAUUUACUGUCUUAAAUUGAAGCUUUGCUUGUGUAAUUUGCAAUAAAUUUUACAUAUUCACUUACAAUAUGAUUUUUUUUUUUUGUAAUAAAGAUAUUAAAUUUAUAUAUAGAAACUAUUUCAUAAUUUAUUGUAUCAGAGUCCAAAAAUCAAGCAAAAUCCUUAUUUCCAGGAAAGGAAGGAGAUCGGAGGUCUUGAAGAAGUCAUUGCAGCAAAUGUUGAUAAUUCUCACCUUGGAAGCAAUGUCUCUUGGAAGUGGAUUAGAAUUCCAUUUGCAUUUGCAUAUAUUUGAAUUGGUCACUUGGAAAUUUUGUCUUUUUGUCAAGAAUCUCAGUACUACCACCCUAUACCAUUAAAUUUGCAAAUUAAAUUUUUAUGUAUUAAAUAUAUAUAUAUAUAUAUAUAUAUAUAUAUAUAUAUAUAUAUAUAUAUAUAUAUAUAUAUAUAUAUAUAUAUAUAUAUAAUUUUCUUGUAUAAGUAGAUGUCUUUCCAACCUAGGCACCAUUAAUUACUCAUUAUUAUAUUCCAACAAUCUAUCAAUUUCAACAUAUGCUUUGAUUUUUCUCAAGAUUCAAUUCCCAUCUCCAAGAGGUUUCACAUUGAAACCAUGCGACAAAAAAAACCCCACAACUCAUAAUUAAUUAAUAUAUCCUAAUAAAUUCAUUGUAAUUUAAUGUUUCCCAUAUGCUUAAUUUGUAUUAAAACAUUUUUUUAAUAAAUGGUGAGAAUUCUAAAAUAAAUUGAGAAAAAUAUAAAUAAAAUGACUUCUAUUACCAUAUAGUAAUCUUAAAAAAAAAAAAAAGAGAGAGAAUGAGGAAUUAUGAGACCAUAGAGGUGAUGAGUUAAACCUCCUUCAAAGAUUCCGUAGCCACUCUUUCAUGACUUUCUUCCUCAAGUGAACAGUUUAUUGAUCCAUAGGAAAAUCCAACAAAGAUAUUUUGUAUGAACCUUCAUGAGAAAUUAUCUCCCCAAAUACCAUUCAUUUUUGCGGCUGCACCCCAAUUUGACUCCAUGAGAUGCUUCUCCCAAUUAUUUGGACUUGCCUCACUCAACAUGCAAUCAAUCUUGAUUAGCUUGUUAAUUUGAUUUGAAAGUUUGGUUUGAUAAAUAAUUUAUUAAUACAUGAAAUCGAAUUAGAUUAAAACCUUAACAUACUGUCUCAUUGGUAAGCAGACAAGGUAAGCACAUUAACUCUGAUGGAUAAAUUAUGAUUAAUAUUAUACUUGAACUCUACAUAAACUAAAACCUUAACACCCUUUGCUUACCUAUCUAGAAAAAUAAAUAUCAUCGAGCUUUAAUUCUAUGAAAAUCAAUUCAAAAACUUAAACCAUUAAAUAAUGAACCAGUAAUAUAUAUCAAAUAAAGUAUAAUUAAAAUCCUAACAUUUGAAGUACAUAUCACUUUCAAACUUUUUGUUUUUUUGACAAAAAUCUUUGAAGGAUUCUCUCAACUAGAUGCGUAAAAGUUGAGUAUAAUUUUCGUAUAUGUUGUCAAACUCCACUUGUUGACAUGAGCUAACAAACAAAAAUAGGCGCCUAAUCCAUCUUUUCAUAAAUUAAUCUCGAAGUCGUAUAAAUGGACUAUAGACUUUGAGGCCACCAUCAGGAAAAUUAAGAACUAUGAAAUUAAGGUCUCAACUCUGUUCAUUGCCCAAACUACAAGAAAAUGGAUUCAUUUCUCUUCUCCUUCAUGGCCACAAUUCUGUUGCUUCCAGGAGCAGCAUCCGAAGUAGGCACCGGCCAUAUGGGCAGUAUUGGUGUCAUCGUCGAUAAUAGUUCGCUUAUCGGUAAAGAAGAGAUAGUAGCAAUGAAGUUAGCCAUCUAUUACUUCAACAACAAAACUAAUCGACAAUUGGAUUUGCAUGUGAGAGACUCUCAAAGUGAUCCAGUUCUUACUUUGCUUUCCGGUAAACUCCACCAAUCUAAUUAUCUUUCAGUGAUUCGAAGGAAACUUAAUUUGAAGAUGUACUCGAUAAUUAAUUUGAAUGAAUUUUGUUUGUAACUUUCGUAUGUAUUCUGAGAUGCAGCCAGAAAUCUGAUCAAGAAGCGGAGAGUGCAAGCUAUUAUCGGCCUUGAUACAUGGGAAGAAGCAUCUUUAGUUGUGGAGCUUGGUAGUAAAGCUCAUAUUCCGAUUGUUUCCUUGGCUGAUGCAGCUCCGCAGUGGGCAACAGAUCGCUGGCCGUUCCUUGUUAGAGCCUCGCCGGAGAAACACCUGCAAAUGAAAGCUGUGGCAGCCAUUAUCGGGUCUUGGGGAUGGCGUCGGAUCAAUGUGAUAUACGAGGAUACCAACUCUGCUGGCUCUGAGAUCAUUCCAUUUCUUGCUGAUGCCCUCAAGCAAGUUGGUUCAGAAAUCGGAUACCUUGCAGCUCUCCCACCAUCAUCUGCAGUUAAUUCUUCUUCUUCUUUAUCUGAUCAGCUCCAAUGGCUUAAAGGAAAGCAGUCACAAGUCUUUGUGGUUCAUUCAUCUUUAUCAAUGGCGGAGCGUUUGUUUUCAAAAGCUAAUGAAUUGGGCAUGAUUGGAAAGGAUUCUGUUUGGAUCACUACAGACAGCAUCACAAAUCUUGUACAAUCCAUGAAUUCCUCAGUCAUCUCUUCCAUGGACGGUGUUCUAGGAGUGAAGAGCUUCUUCCAGGAAGACGGAGCCCGGUUCCAAGACUUCUGCUCCAGAUUUCGACAGAAGUUUCGAUCACUGUAUCCUAAGGAAGACAACCACGAGCCUGGGAUUUUCGCCGUUCAGGCAUAUGAUGCUGUGUGGUCUGUUGCUCUAGCAAUGGACAACAACGGGUCGACCCAACAAUUGUUAGAAAAGAUUGAACUCAGCGAUUUCCAUGGCCUCACAAACAGAAUCAAAUUUGAGAGACGACGCUUGGCUCCACAGCGCAUGUUUCAGAUUGUUAACGUGAUUGGAAAAAGUAAUAGAGAGCUCGGAUUCUGGUCGGAGGGAUCAGGCUUCGCCAAGCCUACUAAUGGUCAAAUUCAAAACAGUAGCUCCAUGGACAUCCUGGGGCAAGUGUUUUGGCCAGGAGGCCCUACUUCCACCCCAAGAGGAUGGGCAUUUCCUACAAGCGAAACCCCAUUGCGAAUUGGAGUGCCCCUCAAUGCCACAUUCAAACAAUUUGUUUCUGUAAACUACGAUAUUGAUGGAGGCCAUCGAUCGGUUUCGGGUUCUCAAUCGAAGUCUUCAAAGCAGUUCUGAAACAUUUAAAAUACAAUCUAUCUUAUGAGUUUUUUCCCUACAGUGGUACCUAUGAUGAUUUGGUGGAACAGGUUCAUCUCAAGGUGAGAGAUUUGUUCAUUCUCCUUACUCUUAACUCCAUUUUAAGUUACAUUACUAAUACUUUUCUAUACGUAACAUAUAAAAUUGUAUCUAUGUGAAGAAAUUUGAUGCAGUGGUAGGCGAUACGUCGGUAAUUUCAAAGAGAUGGGAUCUGGCCGAAUUUUCGUAUCCCUACACAGAACCAGGAUUGCUGAUGAUAGUUCCUGAGAAAGUAGAGACAUCCAAUAGGGCUUGGUUAUUCAUGAAGCCCUUCACCAAGGUGAUGUGGGUUCUAACAGGUGCUAUAACCAUCUACAAUGGCUUCACCCUCUGGUUGAUAGAACGAAACCAAAACCCAGAACUUAUGACAGGCUCUACUCUGAACCAAAUGGGAACCUUGGUUUGCCUAUCCUUCACCACCCUCUUCUCUAUGCAUGGUAAGGGCUAUAAAUCAUCCAUUUCAUCUACUGUAUCUGAAACUGAACAUAUCACUUCUCAUAUAGAAUUAGUAUAUAAUUUUGUUGCAUGUAUCCAUUUCUUUCUUCAAUGCUAUGAAAAUCAUGAGGGUUCUGAUGAUAUUUCCAAAUGCACAUUUUAUGUCAUAAUUUCAAGCCAAUUUAACAUAAUAAUUGCUCUUGAUAGUUUUAUCUGAUGAAUUUUUUCGUAUCCCAUUGUUCAUAAUGUAACAUGGAAGAUGGGGAUUGAGGCUGUACAGGUCUUUAAGGUUCCCUCAUGCAUUUAUCUUUCUGAAUCACAGGAGGAAGGCAACAUAGUAAUCUGUCCCGGUUGGUAAUGGUGGUCUGGCUGUUCGCAUCUCUGGUGAUAACGAAUAGCUACACUGCUAAUCUUACCAGCAUGCUUACGGUCCAACGCCUUGAACCUACUGUGGUCGAUGUGGAAGAUCUGAAGAGUGCUAAUUCCAUUGUUGGGUGCAGCAAACGAUCAUUCGCGGUGAGGUAUUUGGUGGAUGUCAUAGGAAUAAAAAUGAGAAACAUAAAAGAUAUCACUUCAGCUGACCAGUAUGCUCGAGAUCUCAGAAGCGGAGAGAUAGCAGCAGCCUUCAUUGAAGCUCCCUACGCCAAAAUAUUCCUUGCCCAAAACUGCAAAGGCUUUGCUGCUUCUGGGAAAACAUACAAAGUUGGUGUCUUUGGAUUUGUAAGUCCCUAUAUUCCUUUAUAGCUAACUCUCCUUUCUCCAUCUUACUCAAAUUUUCUAAGAUCAAAGGUGAGCCUAUCAACCUGCCAUUCAAUGCCAUUUGGGCUGUGUUUCUUGAAAAAGUACAUCAGGGAGAUUAUCACUGAGAGCAUUUUUGCAUUAGGGCUCAAUUGGGUGGUGGUUUGUUUUCUCUGAAGUCCCAAAUCAAUAGAAGAUUUCUUCCCUUUUCCCCAACUUUUCUCAGCAACCAAACAUGCAGAACUGAAACCCAUUUAGCUGCACCAAACCAAAAUUAAUUAGUCUAUCUAGUGUAUGAUUAUUAAUAUGAUUGAUUAAUUAAUUUGCUGAUUUUUUCAGGUGUUCCCAAAGGGAUCACCUAUUCUUCCAGACAUAUCUAAAGCAGUCUUGGAGGUGACUGAAAAUGGUGAGUUACGUGAAUUACAGAACAUGUUGAUUGGAUCCCAGAAGUGUAAUUCAAAUAUUACAGAAACCAGUGAGGAUAGCAGUAGUCUUAGCCCUAGCAGCUUUUGGGUACUUUUCUUAAUAACAGGAGGUGUAUCAACAGUUUGUCUUGUAAUCUUCAUGGCCAGAGAAAGGUUAACCUAUUUGUAUAAUUAUUCGUUGGGGCAUAUGGCCAUUUGGAGACUAAUAUCAGCUGUAAUGAGAAGCUGGAGAUCACAUCCACGUGAGCGAUUCUCUAGAGGAAUUAGCGACGAAGAAAGUAAUGGAAAUGGCCAACACACAUCUAUGCAUUCACCACAAUACUUUGGAUAUAGAGUGCCAUGGCAGAGAAAUUACAGCUCCAGAAGUUCUUCCUAAAUUCACAAGCUAAAUCAACCCCAAAAAAUAAAAAUUUUAGAGGAUGCUUGGGAAACCAUAACCCAUAUGUGAAUGCAUUUAAGCACAGAAUUUAUAGCAUAUUUUCUGUAUGUUUGUGCUCUGUGAAAUGCAAUAUAAUUCUUAUUUUUAAAAUGCAUUUGUGUAUUAUUGUACGUACUGUUUUAGAUAAAGCAAUAUAUAAAUACUCUUGAUUUUGUAUGUAAAAUCAUAUAUUAAUAUGAUAGAUUUAUACUUGGUUCUUGUUUGGAGCUUAAAGCCCAUCUGUUGACAAGUAUGCGAAAGGAAAAGCAAGCUUAAAACUGAUGAUAAACCCUAAAAAUCUAGACACUAUUCAAUUAAAAAUGAAAAAGAAACAUAUAGCAAAACUAUAUAAAUGAUGAUUCAAUGUCUCUCAAGGACAAGUUCAAGUUAUCAAAACCAUCAAUUUUUCCUCCUUUGGUAAUUACUGUAAGGGUGGUAACCAAUUCUUUUUUGAAACUUCUAAGACUUACCUAAUCCCAUGCUGCCCUAAUACCAAUUGAUAUUCAAGAUCAGCUAAUUAUUGGUGAAUAAUGCAUAAUUGUAUAAAUUUAAGGUUAUAGUCAUGAUCUUUAGAUCCAACCAAGAGGAAUGGUAGAUAUCACCAAGUUUUCCUUGACUUUUCCUCAUUGGGCGAAUGAAUGGUUGUAAGCCCUUUGUCAAUUUAAAGAGAUACAUAAUCAAGAGAAAGACAUGAAUGAUAAGAUUUUUCCGUGUGGAGCAAUGAAAUCGAAUGAGAUGAAUUGACGAAAGCUAUUUAAUUAGUGAGUGAUUAAGAAUUGUAGAACAAGGGAAUAAUCUUAAAUUUUAAUUUUGUCAGUCAAUCCAGAUACAAGUAUAACUUAUAAUAUUAUAAGGCAUAGUCAAGACUCCCAUGACCUGGAAUUAGCAUGCAGUGGCAUUUGAAUUUAUCGUCUCCUCAAUAUAAAAUUGUUACCUAAAGGCAUUUUGUCUACUCUACACGUCAAGCUAUUGAGACAAAAAAUUAAGAGUUUCAGAACACAUUAAUGGUAGUUAGCAACGAAUUCAAUGUCAAGAUUCUAAUCUCAGGAUUCUUUGAUAACAAAGGCAUUGACUUAGUCUAAGAUUACUUGAUAAAUUCAACAUUCUUUGAUCAAUGCAUGUAUAUAUUACUAUGACGAAGAAAUAAAAAAUUCUAGUCUCAAUAGGGCCUGUAUAUUUGAACAAGUCAAGUGUUUCAAUCAAUCCACAUAUAUGAAGAGAAAAAAUCAAAGGACAUGCAUGUUUACCAAUUUUCAAGCUUUGUUUCUAGUGAUAGUAUAUACCAAAUAUACUGGCAAUUCCAAAUAAGGAACCCUCCAAAGUCACAUGUUUAUAGUCCUGUCUAAACAGGUCAUUCCAUGAAAAUUGAUAGUAUAUAUUUGUUGUCUUGUGCCUGUUGGUAUAUACUGGAUUAAUUAAUGUAUCUAGAAAGCAGCAAAGGAAUUCAAUUCAAACGAAAGCAAUGUGAUUUGACAACAAUAUUUGAAAAAUUAAUACACCCCAAGGUCUUACAAGUUUAACCGAAGAACAACGUUAUGUAACAAUAAAUGCAUCCUUUACUAAUGAUCAGUGAAGCAUUAACAACGUAGCGCGGUAGUUCUAGAAUUCUUCGUCUCAGACCUAGGGGUGGAGCCAGUACUGAUCAAUUGGUCCACAAGAUUGGGGUUCAAUUCUUUGAAUCAUGCCCCAUAAGAUGGGCUUCAACUCUUAAAGUUGACCCAGUAAGCGAAAAAAAAGAAGACAAAUGAGGCAAAGAAAGGAAAUUAAAGCAUUCUUAUCCAUAUAUAAAGGAAAGGGACCAUGGUGGCAAUAGCUGUCCUUUUAGUCUUCACAAAAUGGGCAUAUUGUUUUCUCUCUUCUUCUCUUUGUUGGUCUUAGAUUUGUUGUUUCUGCAAAUGGCAACAGCCGAUGGAGGCACUGACUCAAUUGAAAAAGCUGAUGUCAAGGGAAGUAUUGGAGCUAUUCUAGACUAUAGCUCGCGCAUUGGGAAAGAAGAGAAGGUAGCCAUGGAGAUGGCUAUAGAGGAAUUCAACUCUCAGUACUCCAACCAGCAUAUUGACCUGCUGAUAAAUGACUCUCAAGGGGAACCCAUCCAAGCAGCACUUGCAGGUAAGUCUAUCGGUUCAUCUCCUUUAAUUUCUGGCAAGUAAUGAGAGUUCUCUACAGUACCAUGUUUGACAUUGAAAUUCAGUUCCCAUGACCACAUCCUAGUUUGCAAUAGAUCUUGUUCAUGCAUAUAUACUAUAUUUCUGGGCAAAUUAUAGAUGACUCAGGACAUAGCUAGGGCAUUCAGAAACAGACAUAUAUAUAUAUGCUGAAAUGUUCAUGAGGUUCAUAUAUAUGACAAGAUAUUGUUAGUGAUAAAUGCGUUUUUGGAAAUGAAUUUUACAUAUAUACAACUAUGAGAACUGGUGGUUAACACUGGGCAGAUUCAUUACCUACUUAGCACUCCACUUAAAGCUAUGAAUUCGCAUUAGUUUUCUGGGAAAUGAAAGGAGUUACUAAAGGAACUAACCAUAAUAUUUUGUGCUUCAUCAGCAUCUUAGCAUAUCCGUACAUCCAUACAGACUUGACCCAUAAGCCAUGAGGAAAGAACAAAUUAAAACAGUUGCUUUUUGAAUGAGUUUGCAUAGCAUUGUGAAGAAAUUAAGUAAACAACAAAUUACAAAGAAAUCAUGGUGUACUAAUAUAUAUAGGACAUAUAUACCAAGUUUUUACAGCUUGUUUGUGAAGUAUUCAUAGGCAGGAAUGGUUUGAUUUCAGUACAUACAACAAAAAAAGAAUCAACCAUUUUUGGCCUUGUUUUGCAUAUUAGUUUCAUUAUACAUAUAUAUAGUACUGAUAUUGUUUUGAUAGUGAAAUUAUCAAACCAUGUAGAAGCUGCUACACUUCUACUAAUACUGCUACUACUACCACCACUCCUACUGCUGAUUUUUUGAACAUUGUUGCAUCAAUAUACAGCACUGGAGCUUGUAUACAGGCAUCGAGUAAAAGCAAUUCUGGGGCCCCAAUCAUGGGAAGAAGCAUCCUUAGUUGCAGAGGUUGGCAGUCAAGCUCAUAGCCCCAUUCUUUCUCUUGCCUAUGCAACUCCACAGUGGGCAACAGAAAGGUGGCCCUUCCUCAUCCAAGCCUCUGCAGACCAGUCUUGCCCAAAUGAAAGCCAUUGCUGCAGUUAUUAAGUCUCAGGAUUGGCAUCGGGUGACCGUAGUAUAUGAGGACAUCCCGUCCUCCGCCACUGGAGCCGUUCUCCAACUCUCAGAAGCCCUGAAAAAUGUAGGAAUAGAAAUAGGCCACCUUCUGCCUCUCCCACCUUUGUCUUCUUCUUCUUCAUUGGUUGAAGAGCUCCAGAGUCUUAAAGAAGGGCAGCGUAGAGUGUUUGUGGUUCAUACAUCCUUGCAAUUGGGGGUUCACCUAUUCGAAACUGCCAAGAAGAUGGAGAUGAUGAAAGAAGUGUAUGUAUGGAUCAUUACAGACACCAUUUCCAGUCUUGUCCAUUCCGUAAAAGCCUCUACCAUCUCCUCAUCCAUGGAUGGAAUUGUAGGUGUCAAAAGCUACUUCAUUGAAACCACACCCCAUUUCAAGAUAUUCCGGGGGAGAUUCAGGAGGAAGUUCAUCUCAGAACACCCAGACGAAGAAAAGAAUGAACGCGGGAUUUACGCAGCUAAGGCCUAUGAUGCCACUUGGGCUGCAGCUCUAGCGAUGAAGGAAGGGGUACCGAUACUGGCCAACAACUGCUAGAAAAUAUUUCAAACGGCCAAUUUGAUGGCUUAACUGGAAAGAUCCAAUUCAGCGAUCAGAAAUUAGCCCCAACACAUAUAUUUCAGAUCAUCAAUGUUGUAGGGAAGAGUGAUAGAGAACUAGGGUUCUGGUCCUAGACAUCGGAGGAGGAGUCAGGUUUUUGGGGAGAUGGAAGAGCUCUGGCACAGGUGAUUUGGCCUGGGGGACCCAGGAAUACUCCAAGGGGAUGGACGACUCCAACAGAUGAGAAGCCACUGAAGACCAGUGGGUCCACUUUCAAACAGUUUGCAGAAGUGACACAAGAUGGAAAUAAUAUUGCUUUCAAAGGAUUCUCAAUCAAUGUCUUCAAUGCAACUAGGGGUCUCCAAAAAGCCCGCGGCCCGCUUUAGGCCCGGCCCGGCCCAAGCCCGCCGGGCCCAAGCUCGGCCCGAGCCCGUUUAUGGGCGGGCCGGGCCGCGGGCCUAAAUUUAGGCCCGGCGGGCCGGCCCGCCCUUAGGCCCGCCUUUAAUUUUUUUUUUAAAAAUAAUAUACUAUAUUUUUAUAUAUAUAUAACUAAUUCAUUUAAUAAGCACAAAAGAAAUGUAGCUCAGUUGGUUAGAGCCUUAAAAUUUAAGCUUGAGGGGAGGGGUUCGAAUCCCCCCCUCUUCCUUCCUUUAUUUAAAAGCCAUUUUGGCUUAUUUAAAAAAGCCCGUUGGCCCGGCCCGCCCAGCCCGCCAGCCCGCAGGCUCAUAGGCCGGGCCGCGGGCCUAGCAUUUGAGCUCGGCCCGGCCCGUUGACCAGUCAACGGGCCCAUAGGCCCGGCCCGCCCAUUGGAGACCCUUAAAUGCAACUGUGGAACGCUUGCCAUAUGCUUUGCCACAUAAGUUGUAUGCCUUCAAUGGCACAUACGAUGAACUAGUGAGACAGGUUUAUUUGAAGGUACGAGAUAUGCUGUCUUCUUAAAGGUACGAGAUAUGCUGUCUUCUUUCAUUCAGUUUCUUGCUCUUCCGAUUUGAAAGGUCUGUUCGGUGAUACUUUAUUUUUAAUCAUUUUCCAUGUUUGUACCAUCAUUUUUCAAAAACUGUUUUUUGUCAAUUUUUAUUUAUUUAUCAAACCUAUACCGCUUUCAAUUUAAAAACAAUUCCCAAAUAAACUCUAAGGUGGUGUUUGUUUUUUGGCUGAAUAAAAAAAGUAAAAUAUUUUGGCUUUUUCUAUUCGGCUAAAAGUACCUUAUUGAUACUAACCAACAUAAUUAAAGUGAAUUUCUUAUUAAUAAGUUUAGUUUAAUGAUGUUGGUUGAUGUCAAUGAGUUACUUUUAGCUGAAUAGAAAAAGUUAAAAUAUUUGGUUUUUUCUAUUAAGCCAAAAAACAAAUACAACCUAAGUCUUAUUCACAUAGAACUUGUCCAUAUUUGUAUAUUUACUUGAAACUCUGCAAAUGUGAGCAGAAAGUUGAUGCAGUAGUUGGAGAUGUUGCAAUAGUAGCCAAAAGGUUUGAGCAUGCAGAGUUCACACAACCUCAUGCUGAACCAGGAUUGCAGAUGAUAACCCCAGUUCGAUCAAAAAGCAGCAAUAAAGCAUGGCUAUUCAUGAAGCCCUUCACAAGAGCCAUGUGGAUUCUAAUAACAUUCAUAAAUGUCUACAACGGAUUCGUGGUAUGGUUGAUAAAAAGAAACCAGUACUGCAAUGAACUUAAAGGCUUAGUCCUCAAUAAAAUAGGAACCCUACUUUGGCUAGCCUUCUCAACGCUCUUUUCUCUGCAUGGUAAGAAGAAAUCCCUACAUAUCUUAGAAAUUUAAGGCAUAUUUGGUAACUAUUUUUUAAAAUAGUAUUUGAUUCUUUAAAGAAAAAAAAACCAAGAAAAUACAUUUAACAGCCUGACAAAACAAAAACCAAUUUUCUCAAAAACAAAAAACUUGAUGUAUAAUCUUUUAAUGGUUUUCGAUUGUUUUCUAUAGCGUUUUAAAAAAUAAUUAUACGAAUAUUGAAAAUGAUUAUAAAUAAAUUAUUAGAUAUCAAGUUAGUUUUAAGACAUUUAAAAAUAUAAGAAAUAAGUUAAACAUAUUUUAGGUUCUCAAACCCAAUUUUUUUCUAUAAAAUAUUAAAGACCAGUUUUUCAAAAACUGUUUUUAAAAAUAUUUCUCAAAUAAAAGGGAAGUUUCUAUAUGUUAUAAAAUUGAUAGCCUCACCCUAGUUGAUUUGUUUGAACAUGAACUCCAAGUAUGCUCUAAAAGAUGAAGGCAUGUAGUUGAAGUGAAAAGAUGUUGGUCAAAUAGUUCGUAAAUGAUUGAUUAGACAUGAGUAAGAUAACUCCUUGUACAUAUUAAAUUUUUUCAUGGUGAAAGUGUUUAAUUGUUAGUAGGCCCAUGGGUUUUCAUCUCUUAGGAGAUUUUCUAUGUAAAAAUCUGGUGUUAUGGUCUCCACCUCAUUCUUCUCAUUUUUCAUUAUCAUUUAUCGAUGCUAAUUUCAUUCUUAAUCAUAAAUGUUAAAUGGGUGAAAAAUAAGUUGAAAUGAGUUCAAUUAUUCUUUAGAAAUUUUGGAUACUUUUCUUUUCAAUUUGAUUAUGAUAUCAAAAGAGUAAUUAGAAAUAUGUUUUAAAUAGUUAAUUAUUAUUAUGAAUUUUGAUCGGGAAUCUUGAUUCAUUUGCAUACAAAUUGCAUUUAUUAAAUUUUUUAGAGAGUUUUGGUGCAUCUAUUCUUGCAUGUGAUUUUUAUUUUUAUUUUUUUUGUUAAAAAGUUGUUAGAAGAUAUGAGAAAUUUUAAAGAAAGAUGAUUCAUGUUGGAGCAUCUCUUAAAUUUAUUUAGAUACAUGUUGGAGUAUCUCUUAUAUUUAUUUAAAAACACCUAUUCACCCCUCUAGGGAUAGUCCAACAUUAAAAUUCAGCCUCGGUUUUUAUUAUGAAUAUUUUAUUUUUCAAGUGGAGAUCUUGAGAAAUGUUUUAUAUAUGGGAUGAGUGUGCUUUAAACAAUAACAAAAGUAAAAAUAAUUUUCAUGUAUUUUUUGCAUAAUAAUUUUUUAAAAGUUAUUAAUAUUUUUUUUUUAAAAAAAACCAUAUUUAUUUUUUUGUGGUUUAAAAACUUAUUCGAACACAUUGUGUCAUCAACUUAAAAAGACAUUUUAGAUAUUGAUUGAAAUAAUAGAAAUAUGAGAAUGCAUGAAAUCAAUUCUAAAUUCUAAAUAUUUUAGAUUUAUGAAUAUAAAUUUGAUUUAAAAAAAUGCAAGUUCUUAUUUUCUUUGAUUAGAAGGAACAAUUUGUUCCCUUUUGCAAAUUUUUAAGUUCAUAAAGCAUGAUGACUCAUUAAAUGAGAUAAAUAUUUAUCCUCUUUAUAAUUACGAUUGUGGACAAUCUUUCUUAAUAUGAUUUAAAUUCAUCUUCCGAGGACUACGAUAGAUUUCACUAUCUUCCUCCAUAAAUGUUGUACAAUAUUCCAAAUCAUAUACAAUGGAAGAUUUCAAACAAACACAUAAAUGAAUUAAAAUUAAGAAUAUUAUGAAGAAUCUCAAAUACUUAAUUGUAAAAUAUCCAUAUUUAUAAUCAAUAACCCAAGUCAUUCUAUAUACAUUACCAUCAAUACACAAUAGUAAUUACUCCAAAGGCUUGUAAGAUGUGGGGAAUGCUUUUUCUGAAUGAAAAACUACAUGAGGAGGUUUACAUACCACCUUUGCCAAGAUGAUCAGUUUCUUCACAUUUAGUUAAUCAACUCAAAAAGGCAUUGUACGAACUAAAACAAGUUGAUUGUAGAUAAAUUUUGCAUUUGUAAACCCUAUAUAAUGGUAUUAAAUAUUGUUUACAUUAAAAUGGUUUUCUUCUUUCUCAAAUGAUAUAAAACCAUAUUAAUCCUGAUUUUCAUAUUAAAUGAAACUAUUAAAAUGUAAUUUGUAUAAAACAUCUAGAUUCAAUUAAAUCAAAAUUUUACCUCAUAUUAGUAUUAAUAUUAAAACAAAAUUUACCCUAUAUCGUUUUCUUAAAACAAAUUCAAUAUAUGUAUUAUUACUUUUAUAUAUUUCCAUAAAAGCCAACUAUUGAUAUUUCAUAAAUUUUUAUAUUUUUUUUAUUUUCUCAUUCUGACUUCUAAAUCACGAACUUCUUUCAUAAAACCAGUUUGAAAGGCCCUAACCAAAUUAAAAGAACUUCUUAACUUCUCAAAAUUAUUUUAUUAUCUUGAGAAUUGAGGAACGUUCCAUGCUGAAACCCCUCAAACUCUCCAUUUAGAUACUAAUAACGCCCACUACAAUCGGCACCAGAUAAUCAGGACAUUCAAUCAACAAUAGAAAUCAAAUCUAGGACCAUGUGCCUCUACCACCGACGACCACUAACCAAUUGGACACAUCGAUGGGCUUAACGUCUAAAAAUCCAUCCAAACCAAACCCAAAAUAAUUUUUCAUAUGUAUAUCAAAUAAAGAGACUUUAGAUUCUUUUUUCCCCCUUUUUCCUGCUGCUUUCCAUCAUCCAAACAUAGCCUAACAAUUAGAGCUCAACAAAAUACAAAAAAUGGUUCAGUUUUUACAGGCUUAAGGACUUUAAGAGUUCAUUUGAAUCUUGAGGAUUCCAGCACUAGGAGAAUUUUUUAAUAACUCAAAAUAUAAGACUGAAGGGACUCAGUUCAGCUCAAAUAUCAGUUGAACAAAAGUAAUAAAAUCGGUAUUCAGCAGCAAAAUUAUUUAAACACGACCUCAAGUAAUAGUGGUUUUAACAUAAAGCUCAACCUUCAUAUUUAAAAGGAAGAAAAGAAAAGACUCGUGGCAUUGAAAGCAAAGUAAUUUUCACCUUUCUGAACACUAGAAAAUUUGCUAUCCACCAUUGCUACAAAACAACACUUCAGGUUUCGGGUUUUGGGUUUCAAGCAGUAUUAGCUCAAAAUAUAGAUGUAGGUGAAACAGCCAAGAAGUCAAAAAAGAGUAAUAAUCAUAGAGCUUACGAUUAGUCACAAGAGAGUGCCUCCCGUAAAGCUUUUGUGGUCUCCAUGAAUCUAUGACCAGCCAAGGACAUAGUCCAAAACAUAAACCAGUGCCAGGGAGAAAGGGUAUAGCAAGAGAGCUACAAAAGAUGUCCAGAGAGGGAAGGUGGUGCGGAAACUGGCAAAAACGCCCAUCACAACGCAAACUAUGAGAAUGACCAGCACCUCUGAUGAGAAGUCCCAUGUUAAUCCCCUAACAUAAACGAGGGCUAAAAAGACUGACAGGCAAAGGACAUUAUUCAUUGUUACCGCCCCAUAUAACUGUAUGAGAAAAAGAGAUGAAAACAGAUUAGAGGGAUGAUUUCAUAACUCCAGAACAAAACAAUUAACUAUUAAGCAAAUAUAAUGAUCCCUGUAAACAAUAACACCGAUGUUUAUGCCUUGUGAGUUCAAAUUCUGCACUAUUCCAAGAUGAACCUAUGUCUACUAGAACUCUGGUCUACAGACAGCUAACAUGGUUUGCAUAAUUCAAUAUACACCAGUCAUUUAGAAAGUCAGUUCCAGAGACUGCAUUUCACUGGGGGAGGGAGAGAGGAUUACAAGAACUGUUAUGAGAUUGUGAGAAAUACAGGUGUUAUAAGAUGUCUCAGGAGAUCAAAUGUAAGAAACAUCGAUUUGACUAAAAGAUAAAAAUUUUUAAGUUCUAAAAAUGUUGAAAGCGCUUCCUAAAAUCACUACCACACUCUAAUAAUGAGAAACAAUUUGAAAGAACUGAGUCGACCGCUAGAACUACUGGUCUUAAAAGGGCAUAUAAUGUUCUACCACAUCCAAAUAUUUUAAUAGAAUAAAAAUUCUAUCUGAUCGAAACAGAAAAGAUAAUCACCCCUCAUGAUUUCCCACUAUAAUAUGAUGAUAUUCAUAGCUGGUGAUGCAAAUAAGAGUCCCUCUGACAAUGCUUUUAGAGAACACUUGUAACAUAAAAACAUUUUUAGAGAAAAAUUAAGUGUCUACUGUCUAGUAAAAGUUUAAAAACACUUUUAAAAAGUUUAAAAAUCACUUAUAACGCUUUCUUUAGAAAGCACGGUGAUUCUCUCAAAAAAAACUUCAAGAGAAAGCACUUCGACUAAAAGUACUUACAAAUAAAAACACUCACCGACACAUUCUUAGAAAGGUAUUGGGAAUACACUAGAAGUAGCUCUAACUGGAUGCAACCUAAUACCCAUUAGGCUGGAACUUGGUCUCAUAGAAACUUCAGCUAGAGCAGUGGUUAGAUCAUAGUCUAUAAAUGUACUUCACAUUAUUCACUCAAAACUGAACAUUUUCCAAAAGAAGUAAAGCUUAGAACUGCCUUUAGACAACUUGAAUUUAGUCAACGUUAUAAAAACCCAACUUCCCAAAUCAAUAGAACAUUUAAAUGGACCUUCCCUAUAAAACAACCUAUGAAGUUUAGCCAAAUCUAAGAGCUAAUGGGCACUUUGCAGUAAUGAAAAAGCAAUAAUAUCUACUAAUCUUAAGUUUUUCACUAGAAAUCAACAGAUUAAUUAGUGAAUGACAAAUCACAAUUUUUUUUCAUUUUCUUAAAAAAAUAGAUUGUUAAGUCUGGGAAACAUUAGAAAUAUUGGAUCAUUAAUCAAAUAAUGCUCUGCUAUAUAGUUCCAAACAGGUGGUGUGAUUAUUUAGUAUCCAAAAAUUACAUAGAAGAGAAGGGAAGAAACACACCACUGAAAAUGUCAAAGACGUAGUCCUUCUCUUUUUGCGGCUAGCAAAGAUAAUUGCUGAAACUGCCUCACUGGAGGUAGCCAAGGGCAGUGCAAUAAAUGAGAUGAAGAAGGUAGGAAUGCUCGUAGCAUCAGAGAAGUUGUCAACAGCAUCUACAAGGGGAUCAGCAAAUACAGCUGCAAUAAGAGUUCCCAACAACAACAUCAUCACUGCUUUAAAGGUAAUCCACUUCGGGUUUUCCACAGCCUCAACCACCUCAUCACUUUGAUACCCCUCCAAACGAUUGUGCUCUCUCUUUGUUCCCUGCAUACGCAUUUCAAAAAGUUGGCAAUCUUGCUCAUAAUAAGCUGCUGCUGGAGAAGGUUGUUAUGAGACAACUUACCCUGUGAAAAGCAUCUAAAAUACUUGAUGAAUUAGGACCAGCAUCAGGACCAGAACCCUCAUAACGCUUUGCUUCCGUAAUCCAUCUUGAAAUUCCUUUGACAAACUCUCCCUCAUCAACAAACUGAUCAUUGGAUGUAUCGAAAUCACUCAUCACUUUGUCCACAGCCUCAUUCCUAUCCAAGUCUAUCUCCUCAAACUGAAUUCCUACAAUCAAUGGUCUUAAUUCGGCUUUUGAAAGGUUCCCAUCGUGAUUCUCAUCAAUUGAAUGAAAAAGCCUGUGGCAGUACCAAUCAUGUGCUCAGGAAAUACAAGUCAUACUAACAGCAUACGCGCAUUUGAUAAAACACUUACUUUCUUAUAAUUUCUUCAUUAGGUUCACCCUCCUCUGUUAGGAGCUUUCCUAGUGUGUGCAUUCUUAAAUGUUUAAGAAGUCCAGAUAUUACAUGUUUAUGCUUUGCAUAAGCAAGUCGUCUCUUUUGUAUCCAAGGCUGAAAAACCUGCACCGAUAUUAAAAAGAAAAGUCGAGCAUCAAUACAGAAAGGAGACCAAGAUUCCUUUUUCUUUUGUAUUUUUAUGAAUAACAAUUUUGUCGAAUCUAUUAAGAGAAAGGCAGAAACCCAUCUACAAGUGGAUUAUAAAUUGGAAAGCAGAAAACAUAAAAUCUAUAAAAUCAUGAAGGAGAAAACCUUCCCUCCAUAUGAUACAACAAAAAUGGCAAUUCCACAAUUCAAUUUAAAAUUGCCAAUCCCAAGAAGAAGAAGAAAGAAAAAAUAAAAAUUCAUAUUAGCUAACUCUAUGGCAAGAAAAAAAAUUAUCGCCAUUGACUGUAACAAUCCCGGUUAUAUUACUCAGCGGCUGACUAAGGCAGCCCUAAAUUUUCCCUUUUUAGAUGGAAAGUCUGUUCCUAAGGCAUUGAAAACUCAAAUAUGCAAAACUUUGUAAAAUGUAAGAAAGGGUGUCUUUGACUUUGCAAUAAACUAUGACAUGCUAUUUAACCAAAGAACAGCACAUUAUAGCAUGCGUAUAGUUUCAAGUUUAAAUUUCCAAAUGUUUCCCUCAGACAUCCCAAACGCUUCCAUUUUCAGGAGAUAAGUGAUAGAUAAAUGAAAAUACAAAAUAUUUUAGAUUAAUUAAUGGUGCAUUUGACAAAAGGGACGUUGUUAUGAUUGAAACAUUUUGAUGAAAUUUUCUCAAAAAAGAAAUCUUAUAAAUUAUCUGUGAAUGGAAGAGAUUCUUGAGCGCUUAUCAAUCCACAAAUAAAGUCAUACAAUUAAAAGUAUUCAAGCAUGAAACCAAGGGAAUUUUCAGAUCCAUUCCAAAAAAAACAUGAAAAAGCUUUAGAGACAUGUUUUAGAAAACAGCAGGAACAUUUGGAAACAUGCUGUCAUCAAUUGUUUCAUUUUCUUGAAUGUAAACCAGAAAACAUCAUUUUGAUGGUUCUUGGAAGGACAUGAUGAUUUCAAAAAGAAGUUCUCAAAGCAAGGGGGUUUCCAGAGAUCUAAGUGGCAACAUGUCAACAUUAUUCGACUUUGUGGCCAUAGUUGUUAACUCAUAAAACUAAAUCAUGAAUCUUUUUUCUAUUUUUCCAUAUCAAAUCAUGUACUGUAGGAUUUUUAUAUAGCGAAAAAAAAAAUUGAAAAAAAAAUGCACACAUGUACAUAUUAGAAGCAUGAAGUAUAGUAACAGAUAACCAAUUUCAUGGAAGAUAGUAGGAUUUAAAGUGUUAAACUAUGUAUGGAAGAUAGUAGGAUUUAAAGAGUCAAACUAUGUCUGUGAGUAGAGGACAGCAAAAUAGCAUCGGUCACCAACUUGUGGUUUGGAACAAUGCAACAUGAUUGAAGAUGCAGUAUGAAUUAAGUGGGAAAGUUGUGGAAAUUUGGGCUAAGGAAAUUAGGUUUCUUUCACUUCAUGAGGAUAUAUAGGAUUGGUGCCAAGGGUUGUAUAGAAAUUUAUCUAUUACAGCUGCUUGUAUGGUUCACUAUAACUCCUAAUACAAAUACUGGUUGCUUGCAUCAUUCUCUUGUUUCUAUUAUGGUGCCUUAAAAAGGUUGACCAUUUAUUACUACUUGUUGCUUGUAUGGUUCACUGAGAUGAUAAUUCAUAUGAAAACAUUGGAUACAAGAGGUUUAAAAAAAUAUUCAAUUUAACAAACAUGAGUUUAAUGCAUAGGAAUUUCAUGAAUUUAGGCCCUAGUUGGAUCGACAAAAUGAUGAGGGGGGUGCACAAGAGGUUCAAAUUUAAUCAAUCCUUUUAACUGUUGAAAAUUUCAAAACACAUAUAAGUCUAACAAAAAUGUCAAAGGUGACAAACUCUCAACACAAUAGGAAACCUUGAAUUGCUAAUAACAACAGAAAGCUAAGGGAUGUUGCUUCCAAUCAAGUACUUUCAUCAUCUCAGUGUAACAACAAAAAUGGAACACUUAAACAUUACCAAGUCCUAAAAUACUACAUACAACAACAAAUAUUAACAAACAAGAAAGAAUAACAUAAAGGAUUGAAUAGAUAUUUUUUUCCUUCAGAACAUGGAAUGAAAUCUAGAAUGCACCUAUCCCAUCCUAACCCCUUGCCACAUGAGCCCUUGCCUCAAGGAAUCAGACAUGAUUAAAAUUAAAAACCAAAGCGUAAUUAAAUUUGAUGACUGCCAAGAAAAUAAUUACCUGGUACAAGCAAUAAGUAAUCAAUAAUAUAAGGGAGACAAUAAGCGCAAUCAAGACUGCUAAGCGUCUUGCUGAAGUUGAAUGUAGAACUUGAGGUAGUUGGACAAUGAUAAAUGGGAUGACUGAUAUCACCAUGAUGAUUGCAGCGUAACUAGUCCAGAUAUCGGUACUAACACCAGAACCUGUGAAGGAGGGGAAUUAUUUUAAACAUGUAGCACUAUAGUCAUUAAUUCAAUAUUUUUAAAUCUGUUUAUACUACGGCAUCAAACACAGUUUAAGGAUGUGUUUUUAGUCAUCAACUUUUGGAAUAUGUGAAUAUCAUUCCUGACACUUAACUCAGCAGUAGGAUGACAUUUACCAUCACUUAAAUGGAAUUAGAAGAUAGCAAAGAAAAGCAACUUAAAUUUAUACAAGUCUCAAGGGUAUGUGUAUUUUAGAGAAUAUAUAUUUUCAUCAAUCACACUUUUAAAGGUCAACAUAGUGAUAGCUUAAAUCUUCUACACUUGACUUUUCUAGUCAUGUAACAGCUGCAAAGUUAACAGACAUUCUAAGCCUACAAAAAAUUUGCUAAUAAGGAAUGAUAUAAAUGGCUCAACAUAUUUCCAAAAUAUCCUUACUAGUUAUAUGCAUAAUGUGUAACAUGUGGAAGAAAUCGAGAGAGAAGGAUGAACAGGUAAACAUGAAGGUAUAACACAUGAGAGAAGAAAAUUAAGAGAAGUUGAAAAUGUAAUUUAUUGUGGGACCCACUAUCUUGUUAAAUGAUAUUAGACACUAAUUCAUCUGUAAAAUAUAGAUAUGCUCCUUAUUACACCAUGUAUUCCAUAAGUCCAUCAUCAAAUUAUCAAAUUAAACAAAUGUCCCUGCCUUAAUCUUAACAGCAUGCAACAUAUGUAGUUUUUGACUGGGCUUGUGACUGCCGAAAAUGUAUACAAGCCAGAACUUAGUAGUUUAUCAGAAAGAAAUAAUAAAAGAUAUAGGAUAGCGCUAUACACAGGUAAAGGUAUAUGGACAUGGGCAUACCGGUUAGGCUAAAUCCUUUGGUAUCUUGCAAGUCUUUGGCAACUGAAUCCUGAAGGUCACACUUGCCAACAAUAACACAAGAUCCCCACAUUAUUGUAAGGAGUAUUACAGUUGAUCCAGCAAGCAACCCCAUUCCUACAGAGACCUGACUCUGUGCAGUUUCUGUACUUCCAGAAAGUCCAGAUACUACAUGAAACAAGAGAGUUGAUUAGAAGGAACAUGGAGAUCAAUCAUUAGAUACAUGAUUGCAAUGUCACUACAAAAAAAGAUAAAACAUAAAAUGAAAAUAACAGAAAAGGAUACAGGACUACCAACGAACAUGCACGGUCUCCCCAUUGGAAACAUGGAAAAGAAAAUUUAGAUUUUGAAAAUGUGGGGAUACAAGGGGUGAGCAGCAUCAUAAAUUAAUCACUGCAAAGCAGUGAAGCACUACUGGUUUUAGGCAAAAGAAGGCAUGACUAGUAUAUAAGAUAAAGCAAACCAUCAAUUCAAGAAUCAAAGCAGAGAAUUGAAUAUUUACUAAAGCUGUCAAUGCAUAGCAUGGUAUAAUUCACGCCCUUCAUACUAUGGGAUAAUUGAUUAUUCCAUCCUUUUUUCCUUUUACCCCAACCAAAACUCCAAAAUACCAUUCUCAUUUGAAAGCGAUAGUUCCAAAAUUUGUGCAACAGCACCAAUGAGCAUUUGGGCUAAGGCAUAGGGUACUUCCAAUCAAGAUAAAGCAUCGGACGUAUUUGGAAGGUUUCCUCUACUGCGUAUCUAAUGUGAUCAUCAACUUAAACAUAGAUUUCAAAUUGUUAGAAGAUGCUUAUUCAUGAUGUCACGUCAAAGGUAGUGCUAAAAACUUCAUCCAUG